rnacentral:lncRNA from 1 species
UCUAGUAUUUUGGAUUUUUAUCUAAUUUUCUCUAAUUUUUUAUGGUUCAAUUUCAACAUAUUCGUUUUUCAUCUGCCUCUAUAAACUUCAGUACGUAGAGCAAUGACAGAAUGAUUAUGUAUUUUGUUCUCUGAUGAUCAGAUGCAAUGUCAAGUUAGAGCUUACUUGAAGGAAGCCAAAUGGUACCACCUAAAGUGCACACCGAAAACCUAUGAUGAAUACAUGAGGGUGGGACUUAUUACAUCCGGCAUGUUUUUGGUAGAAGCAGCAGUCAUUGUUCCAUUAGCCGGUGAAAUUUCGACAAGAGAUUCCUUGGAAUCGUUGUUCAGAGACCCUAACAACAAAAUUGUAUAUGCUUCAAACAUACUUGGGAGACUUCUGAAUGACAUCCGAAGCCACAAGGUACAAAUACAUGCAUAUAUAGUACUGAAUAAGAGUAAUAAACCUUGACCAACUUUGUUAUGGAAGUUUGUAAUUUGUUUCUGAUCGAGUAUUAUACAUAUGUGCAGCAUGAGCAAAAGAGAGGAAAUGAUUUUUCAGCUAUACAAUGCUACAUGAAAGAACACUGUGUUACAGAAGAAGAAGCGCUGAUCGAACUGAAUAAACAAGUGAAUGAUGCAUGGAAGGAUGUAAACGAAGUAUUGCUCCAGCCUCCCACAACUGUGCCCAGGCCAAUACUGUUGCUGUGUCUCAAUCUUCUACGAGUAACUGAUGUUAUAUACAAGAACGACGAUGGUUAUACUAAUGGUGGAGUUGUGCUUAAGGAUUAUAUAACUUCUCUGCUUGUCGAACGUGCUCCAAUGUAGGUUAUCAUCAAUCAACAUUCGACAUGUUAUCUUCCACGCGUUAUGACAAAUAAAGACUCGGUCUAAACCCUAAGGCUGGGUUAUUACAAAUAAAAGAUUUUAUGCUCUUUAUGGAUUAUUGUAUUUCUGCACGGGGCUUUGGUUCAUGUCCUCCCCGUUGUUUUCUCAGUCAUAAACCUCUUCUACAGUAAUAUAUUUUGCCGGUGUCAAGGUAUUAAUUUAUUUUGUUUGUGAACUUUACUUUCUUAAGAACUUGUACGUUAUGCCAAUAAAAGAUUAAAAGUAUAGAUUGAUGACAUGCAUACUUGGCCUAGUUUAGGGCAGCUCUGAGGAACUACUACCUAUCUGUGUUUGAUGAUCAGAUUCGAUGAAGCAACUUUCUCAUUGUUUGUCGAACAGUUGUUUGAGAUUCUGCUCCCGUUUGCCAAGUGAAAUCAGUGGCCGGCCAUUAUUAUUCAAAUCUUGCUUAACUAAAAUGGCAUGCAUGACAUCAUUUGAAAGCCGUAUUUUUGAAACCAAUCAUGUACGCGGUAAACUGGUAACUAAAAUUUAUCAAGGGCUCAUGGACUAAAAUUACUACUUAUUUUUUUAUUAAUUUAUGGUAAUUGUAUGCAUGUCAUACAUUAACACGUUGUAGAAUUUUUAAACAUUUUGUAUAAAGUUGUAAAUUCAUCGUAUUACUUACACACCGAGUAUCAAAGAUAUUUUAAAACAAACAAAUUGAUGACAUAUUAAUUUUCUUUGACGAAUACACUAUAUUGGUAAAAUGAUUGACAAAUACAUUAGGAUAACGUGGAUUGCAAUACUUGAGCAAACAUGAGAUGUUUGAGUUUAGGGUUUCUCUUAUAGCAUGGUACGUAGCUAUAUAUAUAAAGGCGUACCUACAUACAGGUUACGGUAGGCCAGAUUUUGAGAAAACAUUGUUUUGUUGCAUAUUUAUAAUUAAAAAAAAUUUGAAUUAUGAAAACUAGCCCACCCCAAAUUUCUUUAUGUAAUUGAACUUAGUCCAUAUGAUUUUUUUUUAUCUGAUUACAUAUAUAUUGUUUAUUUUAUUAAAAGCAGUUGCUCGUUUAGUAUAUUUUAUGUCAACUUUCUUCUCUUUAUUUCUUUUUCUUUGUCGUUGUAUACGUCUCCAUUCUCUUCUGCCGAAGCAGCUAAGCCAAGUGUUAAGUUUUUUCUCUUUAAUCUGCAGGUAUGAUUCUUAGUUAUAUUGGUUAUCCUCUUGGAGGGUCUUGUACGUGUCAUAUGACCUAGUUCUCAAAUCUCAACUGAUUAAUGUCUUGAUCAAAUUUAGUCCCAAUAUCUCAUCAUCUCAAAUCUCAAUUGAUUAAUGCUUUGAUAGUCUCAAUAUCCCAUCAUCCCAUCGCACUGUAUUUCUAUUGAUAUUCUAAUUCUAAUCUCAAUUGCUUGCUUACUAAUUCUAAGCCACGUGCCAAGCUUUCUCUCUUUAAUCUAUAAGUAUGAUUCUUAGUUAUAUCGGUCAUCCUCUUGGAGUCUUGUAUGUGUCAUAUGACCUAGUUCUCAAAUGUCAAUUGAUUAAUGCCUUGAUCAAAUUUAGUCCCAAUAUCUUAUCAUCUUAAAUCUCAAUUGAUUAAUGCCUUAAUAGUCUCAAUAUCCCGUCAUCCCGUCACACUGUAUUUGUAUUGAUAUUCUAAUUCUAAUCUUAAUUGCUUGCUUACUUUAUUAUAGAUGACUAAUGCUAAUGAUAUGUGUGUGUGUGUGUGUGUGUGUGUGUGUGUGUGUAUAGUUGUAAUAAUACCAACGUUUGAUUCAUAGUUAUGAGAUUGUGUUUUUCCGUCCUGUUAGGUUUAAAGAUUAUACACUCGUUUACUGUAUUGUUAGAGCGGUGAUUGUGUGCUUAAUUAUUAGAUUUUACUUCUAUUCAAGAGCGUAUGGUUCAAUUUGAGUAUGUAUGUUCUUUUAUCUUUAGCUUUUGUUAUUUAAUUUCUAUAAAAUGUUAUAAUAUUGAUUGCUUAAUGAUCAGUUAACUACGUGAUUAUUUGAUAUAUUUUUAAUCUAAAAUGUGAUAUGUAAAAUAUAGAAGAAAAAAAAUUAAAAAACUUUAUUUAAAAAAAAAUUUCAGCCCACCCUAACCUAAAAUCCUAGGUCCGUCAUUGCAUAUACAGAGUGCAACAAUGAGACUAGUUCAUUAGUCUGAUAUUGACUGAGAAUACUGAUCUUCUUCUCUCUCUUUAUACAUUUCCUAUCGUGACACCAAAAUGAAAUGGAUGAGCUCAUGCGCAAGAAAAUGAUCGGAGUAGUUAUCGGAAUCAAAACCAAUUUGCAUGAAUUCAUGCCUCGCUCUUACAUGGGUGAAGUUGAAUUAAUAAUCCGGGAUUAUCAAACACCAGACGCCACUACGUACUCGAGAAGGUAUGAAAAUUAUACAUGGAAAUUAAGUUUGAAAUAACAGAUGAAGCAAAACGGAAAACGGUGGAAAUGGUUGGACUUCGUUGCUUUCAUACCUUGACUUCUCGACUGAUGAUGACACCAUGGAUGAUUAUUGUAUCGAGUCGAUAUUGUCAUUUGCUCAUCAGGCGCUCUCAGCCGUAGCUAGCUCCACAAUGCAACUUAUUUCUUGUACGUAUCUACGUACGUACGGCUUGUCCUCACACAACAGUCGCUUUGUUAUCAGUGUAUCACUAUAAAUAUCGAGGCACCGUGGUAGUUUAACUCACACCAGCAAGCUAGCUCUCCCGGCCUUAGUUGUUUAACUACAUCAGAGUCUCAGCUUUCAUUUUUCGAGUGCUUCGAUUCCCCUAGCUAUAAUGGAUCCUCUGUUGGUUUCAGCAUCUCAAGCUCAAACCCAAAAUGGCAGUAGCACUGCAGAUGUUGAACGACGUUCAGCAAAUUUUUCUCCCAGCGUUUGGGGGGAAUAUUUUCUGGCAUAUGCAUCUGUGGUAGGUUAUUUUUGAAGUAAUUAGCAGCAUCAUAUGAAUGUCAUAUUUAUCUUAUUACCCCCUUCAAAAUUUUCAUCUACUGUAGGAAACUGCUGAUAUUCAAGCCGACAAACGUGUCAAAGAACUGAAGGAAGAAGUGAAGAGGGUGCUACUUAGUUCUCCGCCUUCACAGAGAUUAGACUUGAUUGAUUACAUUCAGCGCUUGGGGUUGUCACACCAUUUUGAGGAUGAGAUUCACCAAUUUUUGCAGCAAAUUCACAACCAAUACUCAUCUGCUUCUUCAGAUGAUGAUGACCUUCACACUGUUGCUCUACGUUUUCGGCUGCUUAGGCAAGAAGGAUUUAAUAAGGUUUCAUGCGGUGAGAAUCAUUCUUUUUUUCCAACUUUUCUAUAUAUUUAACAAUGGAUUAUUUCCUCUUAUUUCUUCUCUUGGUUGAUGAUCAUUAAGCAGACAUGUUCAACAAGUUCAUCGAUGUUGAUGGGAAUCUUAAGGAAUCAUGCGUCGCUGACGUACCAGGACUGCUAAGUUUGUAUGAAACAGCACAUCUAAGGAAACAUGGAGAAGAUUUCCUAGAUCGAGCAGUGUCCUUCACUACCACUCAUCUUGAGUCUGCAGUAGCAGCACCCGGCCGUUUAAGCCCCCCACUUUCAAAUCAAGUAGCUCAUGCCUUGUAUCAACCACUCUGGAAAGGAAACCCGAGGAUAGAAGCUAGGCAUUACCUCUCUAGCUACCAGGAACUCAACAGUGGUCCACAUUUUAGCCAAAGUCUCUUGACUUUUGCAAAGUUGGAUUUUAAUUUUUUCCAGCGUAUCCAUCAGAAAGAACUAAGUGAAAUCACAAGGUCAAUGAUCAGCUCCCCUUACUCGAUCAAUAUUUACAUACCGAAAAUUAGUGCUAACACAAUUAUACGGAUAUCUAUGCAUGUACUUAUAAAUUGGUAGGUAUUUUCAGGUGGUGGAAGGAGUUGGACUUUGUAAACAAACUACCGUUUGCAAGGGAUCGAAUAGUAGAGUGUUACUUUUGGUCUUUGGGAGUCUGCUUUGAGCCCAAGUAUCGUCUUCCGAGGGAAACAUUAUGCAAAAUUCUUGGCUUACUUACCAUGAUUGAUGACACUUUCGAUACGUAUGGCAAACUUGAUGAACUAGAGCUCUUUACUGAAGCUAUUCAGAGGUAUAAAACCAAUCCUAGUAGCUGCAUGACCAUUUCUUUUGUUUUUCAGUUAUAUAUUAACCUCUUUUAUUUCAUAAGAAUAUUGCGACAUGCUUGGUUGACACGCAUCUAUAUAUGUUGUUUUUGAUUAUCAAUCAGGUGGGAUCUCUCUGCCAUGGAUUCACUGCCUGACUAUAUGAAAAUUAUCUAUGAGGCAGUGCUGAAUGCCUACACUGAGAUUGAAGCCGAGCUUGCCAAGGAGGGAAACUCGUAUCGCAUUGCCUAUUUAGUAGAAGGAGUAAGUCUCAUUAUCUCUCAAGAGAGCUGACUGAUAAUUUUUUAUGGUUCAAUUUCAACACAUUCGGUUUUCAUCUGCCUCUAUAUACUUCAGUACGUAGAGCAAUGACAGAAUGAUUAUGUAUUUUUUUUCUCUGAUGAUCAGACGCAAUGUCUAGUUAGAGCUUACAUGAAGGAAGCCAAAUGGUACCACCUAAAGUGCACACCGAAAACCUAUGAUGAAUACAUGAGGGUGGGACUUAUUACAUCCGGCAUGUUUUUGGUAGAAGCAGCAGUCAUUGUUCCAUUAGCCGGUGAAAUUUCGACAAGAGAUUCCUUGGAAUCGUUGUUCAGAGACCCUAACAACAAAAUUGUAUAUGCUUCAAACAUACUUGGGAGACUUCUGAAUGACAUCCGAAGCCACAAGGUACAAAUACAGCAUAUAUAGUACUGAAUAGGAGUAAUAAACCUUGACCAACUUUGUUAUGGAAGUUUGUAAUUUGUUUCUGAGUAUUACACAUAUGUGCAGCAUGCGCAAAAGAGAGGAAAUGAUUUUUCAGCUAUACAAUGCUACAUGAAAGAACACUAUGUUACAGAAGAAGAAGCGCUGAUCGAACUGAAUAAACAAGUGAAUGACGCAUGGAAGGAUGUAAACGAAGUAUUGCUCCAGCCUCCCACGACUGUGCCCAGGCCAAUACUGUUGCUGUGUCUCAAUCUUCUACGAGUAACUGAUGUUAUAUACAAGAACGACGAUGGUUAUACUAAUGGUGGAGUUGUGCUUAAGGAUUAUAUAACUUCUCUGCUUGUCGAACCUGCUCCAAUGUAGGUUAUCAUCAAUCAACAUUCGACAUGUUAUCUUCCACGCGUUAUGACAAAUAAAGACUCGGUCUAAACCCUAAGGCUGGGUUAUUACAAAUAAAAGAUUUUAUGUUCUUUAUGGAUUAUUGUAUUUCUGCACGGGGCUUUGGUUCAUGUCCUCCCCGUUGUUUUCUCAGUCAUAAACCUCUUCUACGUACAGUAAUAUAUUUUGCCGGUGUCAAGGCUAUUAAUUUAUUUUGUUUGUGAACUUUACUUUCUUAAGAACUUGUUAUGCCAAUACAAUAUUAAAAGUAUAGAUUGAUGACAUGCAUACUUGGCCUAGUUUAGGGCAGCUCUGAGGAACUACUACCUAUCUGUGCUUGAUGAUCAGAUUCGAUGAAGCAACUUUCUCAUUGUUUGUCGAACAGUUGUUUGAGAUUCUGCUCCCCUUUGCCAAGUGAAAUCAGUGGCCGGCCAUUAUUAUUCAAAUCAUGCUUAACUAAAAUGGCAUGCAUGACAUCAUUUGAAAGCCGUAUUUUUGAAACCAAUCAUGUACGCGGUAAACUGGUAACUAAAAUUUAUCAAGGGCUCAUGGACUAAAAUUAUGACUACUUAUUUUUUUUUACCAAUUUAAGAUAAUUGUAUGCAUGUCAUACAUUAAUACGCCGUAAAAUUUUUAAAAUUUUUGUAUAAAGUUAUAAAUUCAUCGUAUUACUCACACCGAGUAUCAAAGAUAUUUUAAAACAAACAAAUUGAUGACAUAUUAAUUUUCUUUGACGAAUACACUGUAUUGGUAAAAUGAUUGACAAAUACAUUAGGAUAACUUGGAUUGCAAUACUUGAGCAAACAUGAGAUGUUUGAGUUUAAGGUUUCUCUUAUAGCAUGGUACUAGAUGAUGCCCGCGCGCUGCUGUGGUUUGCAAUGACGGAUAUUAACUACCGUAAUUGCUUUUGUUUGAAUCAAUGUUGCUGUUGUUGGACAAAAUUAUAAACACAAUAAUAUAAAAUGGAUAUUGCACAAUGACAUUGGUCACAAAAAGGAAAUGUAUAGCAUUUUUUGACUUGCAAUUCAUGAUGGUAAACAAAAUGGAAAUGUAUGACAAAAUAGAAAUACACAUGGUGAUGCUAUCGAUAUACAUAACAUAUAAAACAAUAGUACAUAGUAUUGUGUUAUAGACACCAAAAUAACUGGGCACAAAAAAUAGCUACAUCUAUUGUCUCUUUGGAUAGCAAAAUGCUUCCCACUGCCAGGCAACACCGGAUUGUAUCUGCAGUUAGAACCAACUAUGUCUAACUUGUUAGCAUCAAAAGGAUCACAUAUACAAAAACACAUGUUUCUUACUCCUGCUUUGAUUUGACCUUACAUUCGCUUCCUUGAGCUCUGGUAUAUGAACAUUUAAAUUCAGGCAAUGGAUACAAAGCUGUGAAAAGAUAAACAAAACAAAUGCAAAGCAUACCAUUGCAACAUAAACACUGAAAGAAAACAAAUGCAUGGAUAUGGAUAUAAGGGAUGCUUACUUUGAUAUCCCAUUGCUUUCUUCUCCUCUACAAAAAAUGCAUGGAUAUGGAUAUAAGGGAUGCGUACUUUGAUGUCCCAUUGCUUCCUUCUCCUCUACAAAGUGAAGAGGUAUGUGUUAGUUACUGGAUAAAUUUAGUUGUACAUGAAAAUGCCAACAAUCGUUAACAAUACAUGAAUAUCAGAAUGUAAUACAGACCAUCCCAUUUUAAUCAUACUACUGUAAUGUAAAUAGAUACUGAGAUAGAAACGAAAUGCAUAUAUAUGGAUAUAAGCAAUGCUUACUUUGACGUCCCUUUGCUUCCUUCUCCUCUGCAAAGUGAAAUGUUUUCAGUAGGGGAUCAAUUUGAAAGCUCAAGCAAAGAGAUUGAGAGAAUUCAGAGAAUCAAAGAAAAUAUCUUGCAUCUAUUAUCUUGUGUUACACAGAGGAAGAGAGAGACUUCAGCUAUUAUACCUAUAGCUAUUAGAGAGAUACAAUACAACUGUAAAAGGCUUAUAGAUAAACAGUAAAACUAGACUACGUUUUACUGUUUUACAACAAUUACUCUUAACACCCUCCCUCAAGCUGAUGGGAGAGAAGCUACCAUCAGAUUGCAUUAGCAAAGAGCCAAAGAACUGAGCAAUACAGUGACCAAAAAUAUUGGUUUCAACCCGGAUUAAUGAGCGGCAGUGACUGGCAUAGCUGCAUAGGAUAAGAGGCACGCCUACAAUUUAAUGUAGUUUGAUCCGAAGUAGAUAACAGUCGCCAAUUGCCUUGCACCGGUAAAGCUUCAAUUUCCUUAAGCACUUCUUGCUGCCAUUUAGAGAGAACUGGACUGGCAGUGCCAAUAUGCAAGGGAUGAGUUUGACUAGCAUCAAGGAUAUGAGUUGGUUGCUGAGAAGAAUAUGUAUGCCUGUAUAAGCAUUCAGCUGCACUAUGACCUGACUUCAUGCAAAUUUGACACUGCAUAUAAGAUCUAGAGGCAACAACUUGUCAAGGAGCAGAUCUUUGAGAACAUACUUGAGUAGUAUGACACUUGCUAUUGCAUAUUUGACAGGCUUCGGGAGUGUUACUAAUUCCAUUUGAGAAAUCAUUGACUUUGAGACUUCCAACCUUCUUAUUCCUUAACCCACUUGAAGUAUCAUAUAAGCUAGAAGCGCCAACAUGAGUGCUGUUGUGAAUUCUGUAGUUGUUCCACCCACUAUUCUGAUAACAAACUCUAGUUCUUCCUCUUCGGUCAAAACCCUUGCAAGCAUUAACAAUGGAGCUGAAAUACCAAGUUCGCUGACCCACUUGAGUAGAAGGAUGUGCACCAGAUUGUAAGAUAUUUCCAUUGUUAGUAAAGCUCAUUUUAUGUGAAGGGUCACAAUGUUGUUGUGGAGAAUCACUGCAUUGUUGCAAAGGCUCACCAUUUUGCAGAAUAUGACUAGUGUUUGGCUGAGAAAUUGUGCCAUUGCACAGAGCUUCACUUGUUGGAACAACACUUGAACCAAGAGGAUAAUCAAUAGAAUCAAUAUUCCCAACAAUCGAACCAGCAGAUAAAUUGGGAGUAGAUGUCACCAUAUGACCAUUAUUUGACAUAAGAGGUACCCCAAAGUUUCCAUUUUGCAUCAUGGCAUUAACAACAUAUGUAGGAUUCAUAGUAAAACCAGAUGCAACAUGGUUCAUAUUGUUAGGCAGAACAGUAUGCUGAGGUACAUAAGUAACUUGAGUGGUAAGAUGUGUCCCAAGACAUUGGUUCUCAAGAGAUGUCGUCACAGGAGUAGAAACAAGAGAAACAAGAGAACCCGAAUCCGUACCAGAAGAUUGGUUCUCAACAGAUAUAGGCACGGGAGUAGAGUUGACAAAUUGAGUAACAAGUUCUGAAGAGCUGCUGGUAAGAGCAUUGUUGUUUGAAAUAACAGCAGCAAACUCCAUUUCGGAACUAGGUAAAUAGGUAUUAUUCAAAGAAUAAGACUGAACAUUACCUCUGGAAGUAUCACCAAUUGCAGCCAUAGCUGUCUCCAAAGACAAUGAAAUAGACUUCAAAGUUUGUUCAAUCUCAUCUUCACCAAUCAACAAAAGAGACCUUUAAGUCUUUCAUUGAAACAGAGGAGCUCAGUGCUUUGAUUCUUAUAACAGUUUUUAUGGUAGCAAACUCUGAAGGCAAACCAUUAAGAACUGAGACUACAAUAUCUUCAUCAUCCAUAUAAACUCCCAUUGUAGCAAGUUGAUCACAUAUUGACUUCACUCUAAACAAGUACCUGUCAAUAGAGUCUGAGCCUUUUUUGAUGUUGUUUAAGGAGUUUUUGAGAUUCAUUAUGUUAUACCUUGAAUCAUCAACAUAUUUCUCCUUAAGCCGACACCAAAUUUUCUCAGAAAACUUGCUUCCAAUAAUGAAGGAGAGAGCAUCAUUGGACAAAGUAGCAGCAAGUAUAGACAUAAUGGCAGAGUCAUUUUGCAUCCAAUUCAUGUACUCUGUCAUAUCAGUGGCAACCUCAUUUUCUUCCAUAUUCAGGUACUCUGGAGGACAAGGGAAUGAUCUGUCGAUAUAUCUCAUCAAGCCACAACCCUUUAACAAUGUUUCUACUAAAAACUUCCAUGUGACAUAGUUAGAUUUGUCUAAGCGGAUAGGAAUGAGAUUGCAAAAAUUGGAAAGCAGACACUUGCUUAACUCAACACUGUUAUCCAUGAUGGCAGGCAACACAGAAUAAUGUCUUGACUGAGUGAAAUGCCAACACAACUCAACUAUCACCACUAUAGAACUCCAAUGAGUAACUUAUGAACAACACUGUGCUCCAGCAAUGUCUAGCUUUAUGCAAUUUCUUUCGAAAUACUACCAAUGCAUUUCAGUUCACUGGUUCCAUAAGAUCAAGUAGAUGAUAAGAAGCCAAUGACAAGGACUGCACGGUGACAAAGCUCUUCCAAAAAUAUGUAGUAUGCCUAACUUGUAACAAAUGUCUAAGCAACUUGAAGCAGCAAAUUCGAAUCUUCACUAUAGCCAAAACUUCUUGCAAACAGAGUGCUUCAAUAAUCAACAAAUCCUAUUGCAUGAAUCUAAGAAAAAGUUCAAUUGUAGCUUGUUUCACCAAUCUUUCAUCGUUCAACAACUAGAAGAAACACCAAAACAUAACAAAGAGAGAAUUUGGAGUAAAAUCCCCAAAUUCUAAGGUUUCAAUUUCUGGCAUAUAUCAACGAACUUCACACUGUUCCAAUUCAGCAACUAAAACUUGUAGAAAUCUGUAAUCGAACAGAUAUUAUGCAAAUCAAAUACUUCAAUCAAACUAUGAAUCUAGCUUUCUUCUUCUUCAAAAUUCUAGAAAACUUAUCUGGGAGAUGAAUCUUAUCUGGAGAUGAAUCGAACACCGAAGCAAGCAAGAACAACAAGUAUGAAUAUCGAUGAAGAGUGAAACUCUAGGUCGCCGGCGAAAAUCUUCGAUCCCGAUCGAACCUGGCUCUUGAUACCAUGAAAGCUCUUGAAUACCAGAAUGUAAUGAAAGAUCAUUCCAUUUAAAAGAGGAGCAUAGUUACUGUUCUCUGAUAAGUAUUCUGAGUAACACAUGCAUUGAACACACAACACAUAUAUGUAUAUAUAAUGAUAUAUAUAUAUAUGUAUAUAUUCACACAUGCAAUAUGGUAAUACCUUUUCUGCUUCUUUAUUUCAAUGUUCAAAAGCUCCUUAAGUGUUAAUUCUUUUCGGGGCUGCAUAGUUCUUUUUGCUGGAGUACUUGGCUCUGCUACUGUGUCAUGGACAGUGAAUAAAAUAGAUAUGCAUUGAUAAAGGUGAAACACCUUUACAAUGAAUUAAGGUAUGAUAUGUGAAACAUGGGAAAAAAAAAAAGUUUAAGCAGAAUGACAAAUACAAAGAGAUUUGGCAAAUGAAUUACAUGCACUUAUACAUUUCAUAAAUAAGAGUCAAAAAUACAGUGAACAUGUAAUUUUAAAAAUUUCAAAGGUGGGAAAUAGUGUUUAUUCAAGUAGCUGACAUUGGAUGCCCAAUCUGCUCUCCAUGGUGUCCACAACAAAGUUUUCUAGAAUUAUGAUCGAACCUAAAGGUCUUGCUACAGGUGGGGCAAGCUAGAUAAUACCAAUCCUCUCGAAUGAUAAAUUUUGUAAUCUUGCCUUACAAGUGAAGAUAAGACUCCUGUAGCAAGGUCAUCAGCAUAAAUUCAAAAACAUUAACUUGUAAUUCAAAACAUUUAAACCCAAACAUUAACAGCAGUUAGACAUUAAAUAAAAGUAUUAACAGGAGAUCGUCGCAACUGGUAUCAAAAUUGCUUUGGAUAAAGGAUCAAAUAAGGAAGGCCUGCAACUACCAUAUCAAUAAUAAUGAAAUAUAAAACAUGAGUGCCAGCUUGAGAAAGGAAACAUAUUGCAAUGUAUUGAUAAGUGUUAUGUUUCAUGAAAAAGUUAAUGAGCUACUUAGUUGCAUCCACACAAAAAAAAAGAUGGUUUUUUCCUUAUAUUUUGCAUAUGCUUCUUUUAUGAAAUCUGAUAACAUAAUUUUCAAGUGUUUUCAUUUUUGUUCAACCUAUUGAUAAUCAGUGUGUAAAUACUACCAUCAAGAAUGGACAACAAAUGUUUUAAAACUGAUUGAGAGAUUAUGUAGAUGAACUUGUAUAAGCCAAGCACCGGUCAACCACAGUUCAAAAAUAGGAAACAUAAAAGUACUUGUGAAUCAUAGACAACAUAUCAUAUUUAAUCAAAUUAUUUUACCUUGUCUUUCUUUCCAGCUUGCAUGUUCAAGGCACUAACAGUGAUCAUAUUCUGAUCUUGAAGAUCAGGAGCAGGUUGAUGACGUGCAGAUGAUAUUGUAAUUAUCUUUGGGGUGAGAAAAGGUUUGUUGACGCUGCAAAAGCAAACAAAAUAGCUUCAAUUGCUUUCAUAAGUUGAAACAAUAAACCUUAUGUUGUUCAACCUAUAAGAGCUUACCUUGCCCUAUAUACACAUAUUUCAGGAAUGGGUGGAUUGAUGAACGUACAUGUACUCAUCCCAGUAACGAAAUAUUGAAAGCACCAAAAACAGUUAAUAGCCAUUAUACAGUAACAACAUGUAGCAGGACAAAAUAACUCUCAUACCAAAGUGCCGGUGUUUUGUGCUUGUGAUGGCCAUCACAACUGGAGGUGUGGCAAAUUCUUAUUGUCUCAACAUCAAAUUCAGCUGCAAGUGUUCCCCACAAAGUGACUUUCAAAUUCAGCUGCAAGUGUUCCCCACGAUGUGUUGAAGGACGUGUUGCUUCCGAUGCGGGCGGAGGGUCAGGAGUACAAUGAGCCUCAAGGUUUGGCUCUCUUUGAUUGCUUUGAAAUGUGAAAGUUUGAAUCCAUUAGGAAUAUCACAUUUGUUGCCAGAUUGUGGCGCACUUCAAAUUUGAUAGGUUUCAGUUCAAAGUUUCAUGAAUAGGCACUGAUAUGUGAUGCUUAUGAAUUGGUUUUAUGAGAAGGACCACAUUGAAUUUGGUUAUGCACACCAGGUGCUUGAUGAAAUAUAUGUGAAUGAAUUUUGAUGUUUUUUCUUGAUGAGACCACAGUGGACCUUGAUGUGCUACCGAGGGCUGACAUUCUCAAGUUCUUGAGCAAGGAAUGUGAGGAAAGAGAUCCUACACGCUACAAAGAGAUGCGCAUUAAAGAUGAAACCUUAAGAAAUACAGAAUUCUGCCCAGAUUUUCAGUCAAAUUCGGCGGCAAAUUGCGAGCAGCUCAGAGCGAUCCAAGAACCUUGCCUUAUAUCAACGGAAAGCUAGAAGAGUCUAGUUUCCAGAACUUUUCACGGAUCGUUGAUAGCUAUUUUGUAGAGGAAGUUAUGGCCGUUGGAAGGAGGGAAUGUCAUUCUGCCGAAAACUGGAAAAGGAAGGAGAAAAGUCUAUCAAGCAAGUGUUCAUAUAACUGGCAAUGUAGCCGUUAAAUGUGGAUGAUGAUUUUGGAGGUUAAUUUCGCGGGAACUAGCAGUGCCCACCUGUCAGGUAAGCUUCACUUUCGACAUGAAGCUCUUAAUGUUUGAUUGAAUUUUUGCUUAUUGAUUUGUUCAUAUCUGAAAAUUUAGGAAAUAAGAGAAGCUUAGGGGAGAUUAAUUAAAAAUGAAGAUGACUUCUAUAUUCGUUCACAUGGGAAGUUUGAACAAAUUGCAAAUGAAUUAAAUGAAUCCAUUGUUUCUAUUGAUAUAUAAGGUGAAGCUCUAUGAAACAAUGUUAGAGUUGAAAUCUUAUUCGAUCUAUGAUUUACAACAAGAUUGGUGACAUUUAGCAAAUGAAGAUUUGGACAGGGUUUUAAAGAGUAUAUGUAUUUGGUGUAUAUCACACUUUAAUUAGGGUUUAUAUCCAAAAGAAAGGCAUUGUGUGUGUAUGAAAGUAUUUGUCAUAUUUUGUUUCUUGGCCAUACAUUUUAUUCCCUCUUGCUUGACAUGGAAUUUGGUUUCUGUUUUUUGUUUUUGUUUUUUUUUUUUUGUCCAGAAUUCUACAUUAUAAACUACCAAGCCUCUGAUUUGUGUGAUUGUGAUAACUUACUGCAUCACUUAUAUUGUAAUGGCAGUGGUUCUAACUUAGCUGCAAUUCGAGAGAAGUGGCCAAGAAGUACUGUCGUCCAUCAACUAGAAGCUCACAUUUUGAUAUAUGUUGUUCUAUGUUAAGUUGGUGAGGCUCAUCCCUAUUACACCCUCUACGCAUAUUUGACUCAAGUUGCUGUGAUAUAUAAUCAGUUAGUUCAGAACAAGUUUGUUGGGUUGUUCAAAACAAGCCCUGAUUUGUGUUGUUCAGAACUCACCAAAAGUUGUCCUUAGCUUCUACAAAGAUAGAAUAUGGUGCAAUUGUUGUUCUUGUAUAGAUAAUUUGGUCUACAUUUAAGAGAUCAAGAUUCUCUUUACAUACUUUUCUAUAAGAUAAAUAAGAUUGAUGUCCAGUGAUAAAUCUUUUAUAUAUGUUGCGCUAGUGUUACAUGGAUAGUUACAUAUCAAUUUUAACAGUUACAUCGGAAUGCUGCGCCAUGGUGCAGCGACACGUUGCAAAUAUCACAAAAUAGUCAUGGAAUAUAAAUGGUAGUUACAUGGGUAGUAACAUGGAUAGUUACAUAGAUGCAUAGUUACAUGGAUAGUUACAUGCAUAGUUACAUAGAUGGAUAGUUACAUGCAUAGCUUACAUAGAUAGUUACAUAGAUUAAGAGUGUAAUCUGGAAAACGUAAUAAAGAAAUAAGAGUGUAAUCUUGCUAUGUAACUACGAUGUUAUUACUCAAUUAAGAGUGUAAUCUGGAAAACAUAGUAAAGAAAUAAGACAUUUUCACCUUCAUUCAUAUGAUUUCAGUGGAUACUUGAUACAAUAACAGUAGUUUCCAGACCAAAAAAGAAAGUACAUCCUAGACUAAAGAGGUGCUAACCCCACUUUCUCUGCAUCAUAUCAAAACAACCCAGAGCUGCAUCCUAUUUGAUAUAAGCUCCUUCUUGCUGAUUUUGCCAAACCUCUCUGUUUAAGUAAAGCUGCAACAACAUGGCUGACAAGUACAAUGAGAUUUGUAAAUAAGUUAUAGCAUCAUGAUGACAAGUUGCUGAAGAAGUUCCAUAUGUGUGCGUAACUACAUAAGCUUCAUUGUCAAAGCCUUCUUCUGGAGUGAACCAAGCUUUAUGGAAUGAACCUAGUUCAGAAUACCAUAAAAAUCAAAUCCUUCUGUUCUUCAGUCACUACCAGAAGAAAGGCUUUAGCCGACGAAAAUAAAAAAACCAGGCAGACGAAUUAUUUUUUCGUCGGUUAACGUGGACUUUAGCCGACGAAAUUUUCCUUCGUUGGCUUAUUUAAAUUUUCGUCGGCUAAAGAAAUUUUUUCAUCGGCUUUAGUCUGUGAACUUUAGCCGACGUCUAUAUAAAAGUUUAGCCGACGAAUACCCUAAUAUUUCGUCGGCUAAACCCUAAACCCUAAACCCUAAACCUUAGCCGACGAAUACCCUAAUAUACGACUUGUUGCGUCUCAUCGAUUUGAAACUAUUUUCAGUUGAAGGUCCAGCCAAAAUACGUAAUUUAGACGGUCCAAUGACCUUUUCCGUGCGUUUAGGGGUUUGACUUAAGGGAUUGACCGUCCGGAUCGAGCCCUUAACCUUGUCGGAUCAAGUUGAAUUUUUUCCCAUAUAUGUAUUUUAUCAUGAUGGUCAGAUCUGAUGGUCGGAUUUUCGUUUCUCAAGUUUGAUCAUCACAAUCACAAUUUGACAUCAGAAUUAAACAAACACUCUUCAAAACAAAUUGAAGGACGAUCCCGUAACUUCCCUCAAAUACAUAGAGUCCGAAACCCUAACUUCCCCUCUGCCAUGUCACCGAUCCGCGUGACUCCUAUCAACUCAUUUUCCACCUUCAGAUUGCACACAUAACCGCCGUCCCUGACCGUCGGAUCGCACUCCGGAGGUCAUCCUCCUCCUUUAGAAAACCCACCUUUUAAAUUCUUGCUCUCUUUCAUUUCCUUCUCUGCAUCUCACUCUCUCCCAGACUCAAGUCUUCGUUUACAAAGAGAGCUCUCAUGGCCACCACUAAGUCCUCCAACGACGCACCGGCACCGGCGAAUCCAGCUCCACCGGCAAAUCCAGCUCCUUUUGGCGCAGCACCUCGAGAAGAUUAAGCAGAGCAGUGAGCUCGCUUUUGUGAAGAACAACUACAUGAAGCCUGACCCCAACGCGCCGCCUAAGCACGGCCGUGGCCGUCCUCCCAAGCCGAAGGUCCCGAGGGCUGAAGGAGCUGCUGCCAUGGUUUCCUCGCCUCUGAGGCCACAUGGCAGGCCUCCCAAGGCUAAGGAUCUGUUUUUCCCGACUCCGAUUGUCCAGAGCUCGACCUCGGGAGGAGGGUCAGGCAGGCCACGUGGCCGUCCUUUGAAGAAGGCCAAGACUGCUCCGGCUAACGCUCCUGCUGCUCUGACGAGUGGUGGUGGUAGUGGUGCUCCUAGAGGGAGAGGCAGGCCACCGAAAGUGAAGCCCUCCGUGGCUCCGGUGGGUUGCUGAGCUCACACUGAGAGUGAAAGUCGUUUAUGUUUUUUUUUCCUUUUUUAAUUUGGGUUAAUUUUAGGGUGCGUUGGAAUUUAGUGUUGGGCUAAUUGAUGGUCUAGCUUUCAUUAUCGCAGUGUUUGUUUAAUUUUCAUGUGUUGUGAGUGGUGUUGGCUUCUGUAUUUUGCAGGUUGCUUGGAAUGGUAAUUUAGAAAUAUCGGGUUUUUUUUUUACUGUAAUGGACUUAUAGCCGACAAAACAUUUAAGAUAUUCGUCGGCUAUAGUAUUUUAAUUUUUUUAUAAGGUUCAGCCGACGAAUUAUGGUAUGUUUCGUCGGCAAUAGUUAUUUUUUUAAUUUUUAAUUCGUCGGCUAUAGUUAUUUUUUAAUUUUUAUUAUAUACUUUAGCCGACGAAUAUCUUAAAUGUUUCGUCGGCUAAAGUCUUAUCUCAGACUAUGGUCGACGAAAUAUUUAAGAUAUUCGUCGGCUAAAUUCUGGGACAAUAGCCGACGACGUCUUCUAGUUUCGUCGGCUAAAGUAAUCGCUGACGACUUUUUCCCGACGAAACCAUAGCCGACGAAUUAAGCUAACAGGCCAACGAAACUUUUUCUUCGUCGGCUAAAGUGCUUGUCCUGGUAGUGAGUUUAAUGGGGUGAACCCAGCUUCAUAAUGCCAUCAGAAUCAAAGUAAAGCUGGAAACCAUCAAAAAAUGAAACUGAUCAGCAAGCUUACAAAUGCAUUGAUCAUUAUCACUAAGCAAGAUUAUAGAGAUAUAAUGCUUCUAUAAGCAAGAAUUACAAAUGCAAAUUACUUAAAGCAUUAAGAAACUCACAAGCCCAUGGUGAGUCUUGUAUCAAUGCCACUCUCUAUCUAGAAAGAAAAACAGUACCUUGGAGAACUUUUUAUCACGAUCAUAAUCAAGUCCAGGAGGGGCAUUCUGUAUGGUGGCUAGGGCUAACUAAGAUUAGACCAAGAUCGGAUUAUUUACAACUAACUGAGAUUAAACCAAGAUCGGAUUAUUUCCAACUAUUGAGAUUUAGCACUUCCAAUAGGGAAAUCAAUUUCACAUAGAUCAAAGAAUACAAAACCAAAUUCAUCAACAUGCUAAUAUGGUCCAAAACAGAUCGUAGUAUUCAUGCAACUAACUGAGAAUAUAAUUGCAUCUACAACUAUUCAAAAGAACAAAUCAUAUAACAUGGCAUAUGAGAUAAUAAGAUCGGUGUCCAAUUGAACAAAUGUCAGAUGGGAGAAUACUACGCCUUGUGCCUGAAAGAGAUGGAAGACUAGAGCUCAAGCAAUUUGAUCUUCACAAAUCUGUGUGAGGUGUGCUGAAGAACAUAAACAAGAAUAAUAUAGACUUAAAGAGAGAAAGUGAAUAUAUGUACAUGAUAAGACGUAUUUGCACACGCAUCAAUUAACCCUGUCAACAAAUCAAUCGUAGUAUAAAGCAAGCAGGGAUCGUUCUAAACCGGGGAUCCAACUACAGGGUAGAUCCAUCUAACCUAAUAUAAAUGUCGAAAUAAGCAUAUAGGGUUUAAAGGUUUGAUGAUUUCGAAAUAGACAUUGGAAAUAAAUCCUAAAUUACCUCUAUACAUAUUUACAUGUGAUCAACCAACAAUCAUGCAAACACAACCAAACAACCAUGCAAGAACAAAGAAGACGAUCUCUAAUCUCAUUUAAGUCCACAUCGUGAGCAAAUACACAACCUAAAUUUGAUAUGCACAUAAGUUCCUACGUGGUUCCUAUGACAUAGACAUACUUAGAAUUAGACUACGGGUUUCAUUCAACAUCGUGACACAAACAAGCACGGCUACGUGCUCUACUUAUAGGUCACACACAUAAACUAAUCAUGCAAUUACGUAUCACAUAAAGAAUCGAUGUGUUUAAGCACAAGUCCAAAUCAAACAUAGGUAGAAAAUCGGUGAAAUAACAAAAACAAUGCGACUUAUCAACUUCUUGUAUCAAAGUCGAACUUUGGAUGAUUAACACAUGCAAUAUCAACUACUUGUAUCAAUUACACAUGAAAAUAGAAGAAUGCACCGAAAAUCUUAAAGUAUAUAGACAUAAAACUCACGGCAUAAAACUUAAAAUCAUUGAUUAUAAAUUGUAAACUUUAAUUCAAAACAUGGCUCAAAAGUACCUCUAUCUCAUAGACAAGAAUCGAAACAUACUUAAGCAAAAACCUAAAACAAACAUAAACAAGAACAAACACAUUAUAAUCCGAAAGUAAAAGAUGACGCGGCUCGUUACCGGGCGCGUAAUUUAAAAACCCUUUUUUAUCAGAAUGUAGUAUUGGCAAAUAGGGUUCGAUCAAUCCGGGGACCUAAAGGGCGCUCCUGCAGUCAUGGUUACACUAAAGAAUUAGUAACAGAAAGUAAUUACAAGUAUUCAGUUACAAAUAUACACAUGGUACAAUAGAUAAAAAGGGGGGGUUUGAAGGUUUGUUUACUAAAUUCCUACGAAAACAGUAGGGAAAAGAAAUAAACUACUAUUUACAAGUGAUCGACUUCCACACUUUCGAAACCAGAUUCCAGAAAACAUAAUCGUAAUCUAAUGAACUUUAAUCACACAAUUGAGUUAUCACCAAAGAGAAACACAGAAGGGUUCUAAAUACAAGCCUACGAGGUCAUGCAUUUAAUCGGUUCUUCUAAAUAGUCAUCCAAGCUAAAACGUCUGAACUUAGAACAUUUUACAUGCUGCUGCUAUCAAUACUGUAAGUAUCUGUCUACAAACAUGCAAAUCAUUAAGUAAAAGAACGAACCCUAACAUGCAAAGAGUUUACGUACGACGCUUAACCAUUCACAUGCAAAACAUGUUCCUAACCAUACAGGAUAUGGCCUCCACUACUGGUGAUCUAUACUUACCAACGAGGCUUAGCACAGAUCAUAGCAUUAGUUAGCAUGCAUUCUAACGUAGGUAAAUCAAACACAAACAUGCUUCCAACGAAUUUCUAAGGCAACUGACUCAAUCGCAUAAUAUCAUUAGAACAAUGAAAUCAUAACUAUUAUUAUCUGAAAAUCACUUAGUUCUCAACAAAGAUUCCAUCCAAUUCGGAAAAUAAAACACAUGGUUCUUAAAUGAAACCUAAAAACAAAAGAAGAUGGCCAGAAAGUACUAGACAUAGAUUUACACUUUUCAAUGGACUGAUUGGCCGAUCAAGAACUUGAGGUCGUGCAAGGCUGUGCUAGGGCUUUAGUACUCCCUAGAACGUCCGAGGCAGCAAGGGCUUCUCUUCUUCUUCUUCUAGGGACUCACGGCAAUGAGAGAAACUAAGAGAACGUUUCUGAAUUUCUAAAGCGUAGGAAGUGAUGCUGAAAACGUUCCUCUCUGCUCCUUUAUAUAGUGGUCAUGUCGACAUAGGGUUUUACUCCACACCAUUGAUUAAAAUCUGAUCCAAGGGCCAUAAAUAAUAGCACAAUAUUUUCAGAGAAUAUUCCUUAGAAUUCUCUAGAAUAUCUUGCACAUUAAGAGUUUGAAUCCGGCUGGAAUUGUGGUUGAAUACAUUGCUUGUUUUCCAAAUUGAAAUCGGCUUGAAUCUCUCCUUGUUAAUUACCGAUUUGCUGCUGAUAAUUCUUCCCAUAUUUGUGCCAUUUAAUGUCCCUAGAAAAGGAAUAUAAAUCAGAUAUAAACUCUAGGAAUAUUAGGAAUUUAUAUGGAGAAAUAAAAGGUAAGAAUUUCCCUUAAUUUCCUUGAUGUUUGCUGCAUUAGCUCCAUAUAAAUUCGGCUGGAAACCCUAAAAAGAUGGUGCCAUUCUCCUCCUUUUAUGUGACAGAAUUUCGGCCUAAUCCAUGUAGGAUUUGGUUUCCUUGCUUCAUGUGGAAUCCCUGUCUCAAGAGGAAAGAAAGUUUCCAAAAGAAUUCAGGAAAGUCAAAAUAGGAAAGAUUCAAAGUUAGUAAGUUUCCCCAAUCAAAAUAGGAAAGUUUCCCAAAAUGAAAUAGGAAAGUUUCUCCUUAUCAAAACAGGAAAAUUUCCUAAACGACUUAUCCUUCUUAAUCCGCCGGUUUUAACUUCCUUUUUCACUUUUCCGCUCUUUUAUCUUUACAAUCAUAAAACAUGUUUAAAAUGACAAUGUUCAGAGAAUAACAUAACUAAAUAAGGUAGGAAAUACGUUAAUAUCGUAGCACUUUGUGCUCCUAUCAAAAGAUGAAAUACACUCUCAGAAUAUCCCUACUUGUUCUAUUCUUCGAGUGAGCGGAACCCUAGGCUACUUGCUUUGGAUCAAGGAUGAUGGUGGGUUUGGAUUAUGGUGUUUGGAGAAUGAUGAAGUUUUGGCAAAGCUUUGGUGUUAUUUUGCACGGGUUGAUGAUAAUUAAUUGCUGCCAUACUGUGCCCUAUUUAUAGAGUAACAAGACUUGAUCUCCAAGAAUUCCUCAAGCACAAGGAAUCCUAUUGAAUCGGCAAAACCAAGUCCAAGUUGGAUUUAACUUCCUCUCUUGUUCUUCAAGUAAUCCUCAUGCAUUAAGGAAUGACAAAACCAUCUUGAACUUGGAAAACCUUCUCUUAGGCCGCACGGUUUCUCUCUCCUUGGUGACUUGGGAAAUCUUCACGGCAUCUCCAUACAUAUCUCGGAUUGUACUUCUCCUAGCUCAAGCAGGAACUCCUAGCUGCUGGCCACAUUUCCCUCAUAAGUCAGGAAAACAUUUCCUAAUCAACACGGGUUUAGACUUUCCUGAAAUAGAAAUAAGAAAAUUAGAAACUAGGAAAGAGGAAAGAUGGAAUCCUGAUCAAGACAGGAAUCCUGAGUAAACAAGGAUUUCCAACACUUAGCACAAUUUCAACACCAAAUUAUUCAAAUCCGAAAAUUCUAUGAAUUCUAAUACUAAAACACAAAUAUAAAGCUAAAACAACUAAAUAGGAGUUAACAAAGGGUAAAUAAAGGGUAUAAACAUAUUAAGAACGUCACACUUUGUGCUCCUAUCAGUACGCUUUCGCUUUGUGCCUGUUAUUCCACCUCAUAGAGAAGGAGAUGGGAGAACCAGGGCUCAAACAAUUUGAUCUUCACAAAUUUGUGUGAGGUGUGCUGAAGAACAUAAACAAGAACAAUACAUACUUACAAAGAGAAAGUGAAUAUAAUAUAUGUAAGCUUUGUGCCUGUUGUUCCAUCUCAUAAUCAUGUUUGUGUUGUCUUAAGCUGCAAUUGUGGCCAACUCAAACAAUUAUACCAUAAACCCGUCAAAAAAUUUGGGGAAAAUCUAUAUAAAAAAAAACCCUAAAAUCCAGAGGAAAAUGGUGAGUGAGUACAUACCUUCUUCGGAUCUCCGAGUCGGGUCCAUGUUCUUAAACUCCUUGUGGAUUCAAGACUAGAGCGCGCCUUCAUCGGAUCUAUCGUCAACAUCCAGUCCAUUUUAUCGGAUCCAUCGAAUUCUAGCGUCGGAACGUUAUCGAUUUCGACCAAUUCUUCGACAACAACCAGAUCUGAUUCUUCGACAACUCCGAGCCCAAUCCCGUCCUUCUUCUUCACCGCCAACAACUUGGCCAGGAUGAAGAUUAUGGUCCUCACGUCUGGUAGGCAGGAGAGAGAGAGAGAGAGAGAGAGAGAGAGAGAGAGAGAGAGAGAGAGAGUAGAAGUGCAUAGAUCCUGUAAUGUGAAGUAGAUGGAGAUAGGAUAUUAGAGGAGUAAUUUUAUUACUGAAGAGUGUUUCAAGCACUAUUAUUUCACAGUCUUACAGCAACCAAAGCAGCCUAGACUCAACAGCCCUAACCGUGCUCAAGAGUCCUAGCUACAUAUAUAGUUCACAAAAUGAUACAAACAAGUUUAUUUUAAAUACAUACCACAACCACAGAUGGUUUUAGUUCUUAGGGAAGUAGCUCCACUACACAACUCAUAAGUAGUAGCAUAACAGGUCUGGGAUGGUUUGUCACAAUGAAACAGCAGAUGACAACUAGAUAUCAAUCGGUGCAGCAGCGAAACAUGAAGAACUUCUCCAUCUCACGACCACACUCGGUACACACCACUUUGUCCGGAAUGUCUGGACCGAACCCAGGAAUGAUCAAACGAGUACAAUGAUGUGGCUCGUGAAGCUGUUUGAGCUGGUUUUUGAGUUCAGGCAAAAAGCCUAACUCAGCAGCUGCAGGUUUCCAGGCCUCAAAGUCGUCAAGCGUGAUAGUAGUCAGGUGUCCAUUAGCUCUAACAGUAUCAGCUGAGCCCAACCACAACAUAACCCAACCAUGGUCACUUCCAUCAUAGCUAAAUAAACUCAUGACCUCUCUCAGUAUAGUAUCAUCGUCUAUAGUCUUGUGGUGCUUAGCCUUUGAGCACCUCAUGCUGUCAAGUCGAGACCAAAAGAACCAGGUGGAUGUGUAAUCAGACCAGUUGCGACUGAGAUUCUCAGCAUCAAUAAUUCUGUUAAGUUUCCAGAGUUUCUCUUUUGAGGCGGUGCUUCUUCCUGCAUAAACCAAUUCCAAGGGAAUACCUGUACGUUUUGCCAUUGUUUGUCAAACAGUUGGUUCGACUGUUCGAACUAAGACUUCUAGCGAUGAAGCCGAUAAUGUCAAGAGUUUAUCCGAUGUGCAAGGUGAAUGGCGUGCAAUUUAUAUGUGAACAGAGAGAUAGCAGACGGAGAACACAGAAUUCUGGGGUGAUGGCGCAUGGCGGGCGGAAUGGAGUUGACUAUUACGGUGUUCUUGAUUCAGUGGUGGAACUCGUUUACGGUGAAAGCAUGACAGUGCACCUCUUCAAGUGUAGAUGGUUUGAUACUAGCCCGCAGAGCAUGAAGACCGAUCAGUACGGAAUAUUAUCGGUGAACACUGCUACAAGUUCUUACGAAGAUGACCCGUUCGUUUUUGCCACAUCGGUAAAACAAGUGUUUUAUCUUGAUGACCUUGCUAAGGGUGACGCGUGGAAAGUAGUCAACCUUGUGCACCCUCGAAACAUUUACCGGGCGGCUACACUUGGAGAGGCCGAAGACCAGGAAGAAGAUGUUGCGUAUCAAGAGCCCAACGCAAUAGGUAUUCCUAACUCCUCUACCGUUCGCCUUAAUAAUUUUAAAGCGGGUCGUUCGGUGCGAAUUCGUGAUGAAGAGCCAAGGCUUAUUGAUGUUGAUCCAAAUCAAGAAACAGACGAAGACUCUGGCGAUGAGGAAAUACAUUGAUUACCAGAAAUUAAUUCUGACACCGAAGAAGACUCAUCGGAUGAUUCCGAUUACGAGCCUUAGUUUUAAUUUAGAAGACGUAAUACAUUAAUUUGUAAUAAAAAAGAUUGUAUUACCUUAUACGACUUGUUGUGUCUCAUCGAUUUGAAAAUAUUUUUAGUUGAAGGUCUGGCCAAAAUACGAAAUUUAGUCGGUCCAACGACCUUUUCCGUGCAUUUAGGGGUUUGACUUACGGGAUUGACCGUCCGGAUCGAGCAGUUAACCUUGUCAGAUCAAGUUGAAUUUUUUCCCAUACAUGUAUCUUAUCAUGAUGGUCAGAUCUGACCGUCGGAUUUCAUUUUCUCAAGUUUGAUCAUCACAAUCACAACAUGCCUACUAAUGUUGUAUAACUUGUUUACCGAGUGUUAAGUAAAUGUUCCGUUUCAAAAACAAACUAUACAUAGAACCUUCAAACGUAAAAAAGUCAUGAAAUAAGACAUGACCAGAAUGGUGAAAUACGUCUACGGUUGAAAAAUCACGGUAUUCUGGUAAAGUAUCGGUGCCGAUAGUUGCGGUCAAUGCAAUUUUCCAUUCUUUCUCCCUAUGGGUAGCCCUAUCUUCGGUGGUUAUUUUGCGUAAAAUUUUUAUAGGACUUGUUGCGUCUCAUCGGUUUGAAACUAUUUUCAGUUGAAGGUCCAGCCAAAAUACGUAAUUUAGACAGUCCAAUGACAUUUUCCGUGCGUUUAGGGGUUUGACUUAACGGAUUGACCGUUCGGAUCGAGCCCUUAACCUUAUCGGAUCAAGUUGAAUUUUUUCCCAUACAUGUAUUUUAUCAUGGUGGUCAGAUCUGACGGUCGGAUUUUCGUUCUCAAGUUUGAUCAUCACAAUCACAAUCACAGUUUGACGAAUGGUUAAUUGUUUUAAAGCAGACGAAUUUCAAAGGUUUAGCCGACGAAUUUAUUGUUUAGCCGACGAAUUUCAAAGGUUUAGCCUCCUCCUCCUCCCUCUCCCUCUCCGGCCUCCUCCUCCGGCCCUAGCCUCCUUCUCCUCCUCCUGCUCCGGCCGGCCGGCCUCCUGCUGCUCCGGCCUCCUCCUGCUGCUGCUCCGGUCCUCCCUCCUCCUCCUCGAGUACAUUUCUAAACUUUAGUUAUAUUUUGUGUUUGCUUUUAUUUUUCGGUCAAUUGCAAUGUUGUGGUGUUGUUAGGAAGUGUAUAUUUGUAUUUAGGAAGUGUAUAUUGUUAUUUAAUAAGUGUAUAUUUGUAUUUAGUAUUUAGGAAAUGUAUAUAUUUGUUUUGUAUUUUGUGUUUGGUUUGAUUUUCCGGUUAAUUGCAAUGUUGUGGUGUUGUUAGGAAGUGUAUAUUUUUAUUUAUGAAGUAUAUAUUUAGGAAGUGUAUGUGUAAAUUUUAGGAAGUGAAAAUGUAUUUAGGAAGUGUAUAUAUUUUUUACAUUUUUUAAAUGAGUUUGCAUUUUUUGAUUUUGUGGCCUUGAUUCAAAUUUAUAUUUUAAAUAGGAUGAGCGGUAAUAUUGGAUCGACGAAGGGUUCGAAGGGCCAAAAGUCCGUAUCGUCUGAGGGAACCUCUAGCAACCCUCAGACAUCGUUUCAGGGUCUCAUGACAGCUAGACAUGAGAGCCUUCUGCAGACGGCGCAGAGGUAGCCGGAGAUGGGCCCUUCAUCAAGGCAGCGGGGCGUCCCUCAUAUCUCGAGGCAGUUGUUUACUCAGACCCAGACGGAGGUGUCUGCACCCCGUAUGCCUGAGAUACACCGGGCGCCCACUCCAGGUCCUACUUCUUCGGAUAGUGGGUCAUCUGGGGUACAGAUGCCGCCGCCUCAUCUAUAUCUUCCGCGGAUGAUACCGGCCAUACCUGUAGUCGAUGACUCAGGGACGCCGAUUUAUCCACUGCCCCCGCCAGUGGCUCCAUCAGCGGCGUACUGGUUCGUGCCUUUUGAUACGCCUCUUAUUUCCGCGAGGGUAUCAUCAUCGGAGACGGAAUCCGUCGCGUCCGCCUCCUCGCCCUUAGGUAAUGAAAGAUGAAUGAUUUGUUUUCUUAUAAUUCUUCGAUUUUAAUAAUCAAUUUGGUUUAUCAUGUGAUAGGCACCGUCGGAGCGAAGCCGACAAAAAAGAAGAGAGGCCCCGUCACAGGGAAGGCUCUCGAGAAGAUCGUCGGUACCUCAGGGAGGAUUGUCAUCGGUACUGAUGGGGAUGGCGACGUAGUAUCGGGCGGGAAGUCGAGGACGUACUCCGGCCGUGUGGGAGCGCUCAUUAGGGAUAGAGUCCCCAUGUUGUGGUCAGACUGGGGCGAGGUCCCGCAAGAGGUUAAGGACAUUGUCCACAACGCGAUGUCGGUGAGUUUACAAAAUGCCUUAAUAAUAUUAUGUAUUAUAGUUUAGAUUUCUCGAAAAACUAAACUAAUAAACGGUUAAAUGCAGGUGUGGUUUGAGGUUCCCGAGCCCUUGAAGAGCAGCUGGGCGGACAUUGUGCAUGGGGGAAGGUACAUUGGGAUUAAUGAAAAAACAAAAUUGUAUGUCAUAUUAAUAAUAUUUCUAAUAUUUUUGUUGUAUAUGUAGGUACAAGGAGUGGAAGAACGAGUUGCGAACCCAUUGGACUACGCACGGGAACGCACGUUCUGCUACCCCUGCUGAGUUCCAGUACAGAGAGUAUGAGUGGCGUUGGCUUCUGACAUCAGAAUUCAACAACCCUCGUAAACAGGUAUUUAAAUAAAUUAAUUAGUGAAUUUGUCAUUAAGCACGUGCGUUUUUAAAUAUUUUACUAAUAGUUUUGUUUUUUCUUUGAAGGCGGUUUCCCGGGCGAACGCUCAGAACCGGCAACGCAACACAAGGAACCAUCAUGCCGGUUCUAGACCGUUCGCUGUCUUCAUGGACAAGGCGGCCAGGGAACAUCCAGAGGUCAACCAGUACGUCUAUACGUACGAGAAGGCAUAUCCUGACUCCCAGGAGGAUAUAGUAAGUAAUCUUUCCUUUUUACAAAAUUUUUAAUUUUACUUAUAUAUAUGUCAAAAUGUUAAUUAAUAAUUUUUUUUCUAUCCAAUUAGGCAAAGGUGAUGGAGGCUAGUGACGAGGUGAUGAGUGCUAUAGUGAGGGAGACAUGGCCGGACACGCAAGAGGAAGAGAUGUCCGAAGCCAUUUCCCGGAUCGACACUUCAGAUCCGAGGGUUGGGGCGAGGAUCAUGGGCACAGCCUUCCCACCGCGAGAAAACAACUUCUACUGCCGGGGUCUAGGAAAGAAGGGUCAGGGGGUCUUGAAGACCACUCCAGGAUUUUAACGAAAGGCAGCCUCGACCAGCAGCAGGACGACUCAGCUAGAGUCGGACGUUGAGAGACUACGGGAACAGCAAGCCUCUCAGGCUGCUGCUCAGGCUGACGCUCAUGCUGCUCAGGCUGCCGCUCAUGCCGCCCAGAUCGCCGAAUAUAGAGCCUAUGCUAGAGCCCUACAUGCCGCCCAGCAGGCCCAGCAUCAGCAGAUGUUCUAGUACUUCUAGGAUUUUACAGCUGCCCAGCUUCAGGGACUUCCACCUCCGCCCAUGCUUGCGCCUAUACAGUUACCUCUACCGCCGCAAUCUCCUCACCAGCAGGCCCCAGAAUCGGAUCUUGAUUUAGACCAUUUAGAUUUUGUGUAGUUGAUACCUUAUAUAGUUUUAUAUGCUUCUUGUUGGUUAUAUAUAUGGAAUUGUUUUGGUGUAUUUUGCAGCUUGCUUGGAAUGGUAAUUUAGAAAUUUCGAGUAUUUUUUUUUACUGGAAUGAAGUUAUAGCCGACGAAACAUGCCACAAUUCGUCGGCUAUAGUUUUUUAAUUUUUUUUCCAUAGGGUUUAGCCUACGAAUUAUGGCAUGUUUCGUCGGCUAAACCCCACUAAAGCCAACGAAACAGACUCUAUUUCGUCGGCUAUAGUUUUUUUGAAUUUUUUCAUUAAAUACUUUAGCCGACGAAUUCUGUCGGCUAAAGUCUGGAACAAUAGCCGACGAAUAUUUCUGUUUCGUCGGCUUAAGUUUGGGAGUAUAGCCGACGACGUCGUAUUUCGUUGGCUAAAGUCUGGAACAAUAGCCGACGAAAUAUAGUGUCUGUUUCGUCGGCUUAAAUGCAUGAAUAAAAGCCGACGACAAAAUAGUUCGUCGGCUAAAGUCUGGACAAUAGCCGAUGACAGUCUCUAGGUUCGUCGGCUAAAGCCAUCACCGACGAGCCUUUCCCGACGACACUAUAGCUGACGAAUUUGGAUAACAAGCCGACGAAAAUUUUUCGUCGGCUAAAGUGCUUGUCCUGGUAGUGAACCUAACUCUGGGCUCAUUAUGCUGGGAGACUUUCUCCCGUUACAUUAGGAGACGUAAUUGAAGAGGGACCCAUGGAUCCCAGCUUAACCAUAUUUAAGGUAUUGGGUUUUAAUCACAAAAGACAUCAGUACAAUUAAGUGUGAUCCAUCCACUUAUAAGUUGUAUUUUAUUUAUCUCUUUUCUGAUGUGGCAUGGGAUCUUUCCUCUCCAACAGAGAAGUUUAUCAAUAACUGUUAAUCUUGGUUUGGUAGAAAAUGAAAGAUGAGAUCAUUUGUUUUCAUGAUCUCAUAAGCAGCAUCUGCAGAUGAAACUAUGAUCACAUGUCGGGAACCAAAAUGAAGCAUCAUGAGUUCACCAUGGUACUUGAUGUAUCCAUUAUAUGCUAUGUUUUUAUACCUUUAAAUCUCGGAUUUGUAUUAUACUUUCUGUCACAUCCUGGUUCUUAAAUUAUUUUUAUCGUUGGGUUACUUUGAUCUUUUACUGUUUUGAGUAACCGUUUACUAUUUAAGGACCCUAGAGUUGACUUUUCGUAAGAAAAUUAUUUUGGAAGAAUUUUUAAAGGACGUCGAUCGUAGAAGACGUUAAUACGAAUAUCCGUAGACAUGCUAUACGUUAAAAUCGGAGUUGGUAUGAAAAAGAUAUGGUGUAAAGACUAAAGUUACUAUUUUUGGUCAGUGGUAUAAAAUGGUCCAAAGGUGGAAAGUCAAAAAAGUAAAAAAUCAGAACUCACCUUCUCUCUCUCUCUCCUCCUUCUUGUGUCUCUCUCCCACAACAGAUUCUUCAUCGCCGUUCGCUACCGUCCGACCGAGUUGGGCGGCAAGGUUGGUAUCAAAUCGAAGCUUGGACAUCCCUUUUCAUGUUUAGGUAGGUUGUUGGCCGUGUCGUGUUGCCUUGAGGGAGAAAUCAUGCCGAGAAGACGAGGCUGUGCGUGGUGGAGUUCAGCUUGAAACUCCCUCCUUCGGCCACCAUCGUCAGAGAUCCUUGUAUUAACUUGAAGCUCUCCUUUCAGGUAGCAAACCCUCAAAAGGAUUCGAUCCAAUUCAGGCUAGGUAAGGAGAAUCAAAGCUUUGAAAUUCUAGGGUUCUUGAUUUUGGGAUUUUCUGUUUUGGCUCGAUUCGCAUUUUUAGACUUAAAAUUGAUCUUCGGGCUAGUUAUGAAAGUUGUUUAAAAUGUUGAGACGAUGAUUGUGUUAAAUUUUGGUGAGCAUUGGAGGUGGCCGGAAUUCGGGCUGGCCGGCCGCCGUUGCCUGCGAAGCAGACGGCAGCGCUGCCUCUUUUGGGUUGUUUUUCAUGUUAUUUAAUUUGUUAUGAUGAGAGGAGUCCAAUGGUGUAAAGUUUAUAAUUUUUAAAGGAGUUUUGGUUAUGUUUGAGAUUUUUCAAAAUUGGUGAACUUAGCGGUUGAUAGGAUAGAAUCCGAUCAUUGGAUUAGUGUUAAUUAAACUUCAGAAAGUUGUUUUAAGGAUUUUGAUGCUUGUGGUGAAGUUUGAGUCUUAUUGGUCUACGGAUGGAGAAGUUGGGCAAGGGUGAAGGAUUUAUAGGCUCACUUUUAUUCUUGCACUUUUUUUUAAAGUAUCGAGUUAGUCUUGAGACAUAAUAAUAUCUAUUGUUCAAGACGUGAGGAGGAUCGUGUUGGGAGACCUCGGAUCGAUGGCAGACAUAGUCGUAUACUGUGAGUGGACAUUUCGGUUUUUAUUAAAUAUGUACGCAUGACUUUAUAAGUUAUCGUUAUUAUUUUUACCGAGCUUAUAUAUUAUAAUUUUGGCUUAUGACUUGGAUCAUAAAUUAUUUGAGAUCGUUAAUAAUUUAUGGAUUUGAGCUUGAGUUAUUAAUUUGGUAUUUGAGUUUUGUUAUUCUUUAUGAUUCCCGGAUUUAAUUAUUAUCGUCAUUAUUUGUUGACCUUGAGAUUUAUAAAAGAUUACCGAAGAUGAGAUUUCCGAUAGGUCUCAAUUUAUAAUUUCCUCGUUUAUUGUGGAUGUUCGAUUUUGACAUUGAGAAUAUUUUAGUGAGUAUUUCGGGUUGAGAAAUUCUUUAAUUUACGAUUUAUACUUGAUAAUUAAGUCUCGCUGAUAAAUAUAGAUUUGAGAAUAUUUUGACAUGCGAGACAUGUCAUUGAAUAUUAUUUUAAUUUCAUAUAAUAAUCUCCAAGUACGGUUGGGAAUCGUACCAUUUGCAUGAUUUUGGGGAAGCUUUAUGGAUUUAAGUGAUUUUGUAUGUUUUUAGUCACCAUACUAGGGUCACUCUUAUUCAUUACUAGCUAUCUUUUAUUAGCGGUCCUCACCAUAGGUGAGUCGAGUGCUUAACGUGGGAUGUUAUUGUAACCUGGGAGGCUCUGAUUGGUUUUAUUCAUUGUUAGCUAGCCAUUAUUAGCGAUUCUCACCAUAGGUGAGUUGAGCAUUUAGAGUGGGACGUUACUAUCUUAUUCAUUGUUAGCUAGCCUUUAUUAGCGGUCCUCACCAUAAGUGAGUCGAACCUUUAACAUGAGACGCUACUAGAGCCUAGGAGGCCCCAAUCGGUUUUUAUUCAUUGCUAGCUAACCAUUAUUAGCCGUCCUCACCAUUGGUGAGUCAAGCCCUUAGCGUAAGAUGCUAGUAGAGCCUGGGAGGCUCCGACCAGAGCCUGGGAGACUCCUCUUAUAUGGUGAUAUCUCUUUCCCUUGUGUAAUUUUUCUCAAGUUGUGUAUUUGAUUAAUCAACGGGGCUGGUUUGUCUAUUCUUAUGUGGUUGCGGACAAUAAGCCGAAUGUUUGAUCAAGGUUGCUUGCAUCAAAGAGGUUUUAAAGUUUAAACAUGGGAAAGUAUCUGAAUAAGAUUUUGUUAAAUUAUUUAAUUUUAUUUUUGUCCACUCACUCUAACUUCUUUUAAUUACUUUCCUCUGGGCCAUUCGGUUUCAGAUGCCCAGUUUGCAGGUUAGCUUAGAAGAGGUUAGGUGUACACGGAGUUCAGCUAUAGUCAAUAACAUAGCUUUCGCUGGCUUCCUUAUCUAUGUUUUCUUUUCUUAUUAGAAUUGCUCUGAUUACCUUUGAGAUUGUUGUGUUCUGGGUGUUGAUGCAGUGCUGGGAGCAGGGUGACUCUAGGAGUUGAGGGUGAUUUUUUUUUAUUAUAAAAGUGUAUGUUUGGAUUUGGCAUGUAGGGUUGUACAUUUUCAAAGGAGGUUAUGGACCCCGCAGGGUUUACUCCGGAUUUCAAGAGGAAAUUCAGGAUGGGUCCUGACACUUUCAAGUAAUUUAGUUCAAUUUUACUUAGUUUGUCGUUUUUCAGGUUCAAAGAGCAAGGAGAAGCAAUUGGAGCAGGAAGGAUUGAAAGCGACAUAGCAAUCCCGAAUUCUGGGCAGUGAGGCUAUGCAGAUCAGCCAACUUCGCCAAAUCACUGAGAGCAACUCAAAUCGAAUCAGAUGAUGAGCCUUAUAGCAUUACAAAGCUACAAAUGUCUUCUUUCUAUAGCAUUUUACGAAUCUCUAUUUUGAUACUUCUAGAGUCAGUUACGGUCAUUUGAAUGAAGAUAGGUCAUAUCAGGAAAUCUGCACGGGUUUGCAUACAUUCAUGGAGAACUCAAGUUCCAUGGCACAAGAUCUCCAAUCCUUAUGCUUCAAUGAAGUUAAUUCAGACGAGGAUGCAAAGAAUACAUGUAUUCCUAGUUCUACAAGAGAUAUUUCAAAUUCCAUAUCAAGAAAGGAGUCUGAUUUCAAGUCUUACAAGGAAACUUGAAGCCAAAGAUGAGCAGGAAAUCUCCCUUAUAUAAGGAGCACGAAUUUCACAAAGAAAGAGCUUCCAGGACGUGACAUACUUGGAGACAGCCAUCAUCACCUAUCUUUCAUCCAUUUUCCCUUUUAGUCUUUUUAUGUGUUUCAUUGUUUUCGUUAUGACUUUUAGUAGCUAAAUCUUUUGUUAGGGCCAUAAUGGAUCCUUAGCAUGACUAUUCGAUGUUUAUAGUUAGAUGAUUACUUUAUUAUUGGAUUGGUGUUGAGUUUUUAAUCUCUAUAAGAAUUGUUGCUUAUUUCAAAAUACUAGAGUCUCACGACCCUUAGGGUUUUGUUUUAAGCUAUUCAAUGCAAGAGUAGGUAGAUGCCAAUGCUGAAUCUUGAAUGCUUCUUGUGAUUAAAAACCAUAGAUUGAUAAGAUAGAUACCAUGUUUUAUUGGUUUAUGUGAGUCCUUUUGUUCUCAUUGAACUUCAUUGACCCUUAGAGAGUAUAUGUCAUACUUAUAAGAAUAGUUGAAUACUGUACUCUGCCAUAAGGUAGUAUUCAUGCUUUGGAGAACUCUCAUAUGAUGGAUUCUUCAACACCGGUUUAGUAGUUAGUAAUCGGUAGACUAGGAACUCGAAUAGGAUUGUGACGGUGAAGUUGGAAGCCCUAGCGUUUGUCCAUCGUUGUUUUCAAAACCCUUUCAAAACAUCUUCUCAAUCAAUUUGCUUGUUUUACUCUUUUCUCAUUGUUUACAAAAAUUACAAAAAUAUCUUCUUAUUUUCUUGUCAGUUGUUAGACUAAUUUGAUCAAUUAGUUAGAAUUGAAAGUUAGUUAUCCAUACCUAGUUGGAACGACCUCGUACUUGCAUAAGCUAUACUGUAAACGAUUCGUGCACUUAUGAAGUUAUUAAAAUUUGACAACAAGUUUUUGGCGUCGUAGCCAUAGUUUCUUUUUUAUUAGCCUUUUAGUUUCGUUUGUUUUUAGUCAUUGUUUUGUUUUAUGUGUAUUGAUUGAACAGUUAACUAUUCAAUUUUGAUUAAGCUAUUGUCCCCAGUGUUCAACAAGCAUUCUAAUUAUCUUCUGUUGAGCAGAUACUAGAGUAUUAUAUGUCAUUGGAAAGCUCUUCGAGUCUAGUUUCCAACUGGAGAAGCAUAUCAUGAAUCCGAUACUCAAGCAAAAAGUUAUUCACAGAAAAGUGGGCAGAGGUCAAAGCUAAGAAGUUCCUAGAAACCUGUUGUUCAAUCACUUGAAUUCAUAAUGGGUGAUCGUGCGUUGGUAAACAAUGAUCCACCAAAGAAGUUGUGCGAGUAUACUGCACCAACAACCUAUGAUGCACCUUUGUGUAUUGUUUUGGCACCUAUUGCGCAGCAAUUUGAGAUAUGCCCUACAACAAUCCAACUUCUACCUAUAUUCUAUAGGAAGGAGAAUGAGAAUCCCUAUAACCAUCUCAAAGGCUUCUUUGCUAUAUGUUCCACAUUCAAUUAUCAAGGAGUCACCAAGGAGCAGAUUCGACUUCGCUUGUUCCCGUUUUCUUUGAAAAAUAAAGCACAAAACUGGCUUAACUCUCUUAUGGAAGGCUCUAUCACCACCUGGGUGGAAUUGUCUAAAAAGUUUCUUAGCAAGUUCUAUCCGGCUCACAAGACGAAUGCAUUAAUCUCUGAGAUCAUGUCCUUAAUUUGCUCAACAUAUAUUGGACUUGUUCCCCUCCAUUUUAUGAGAAAUAAAGACUCGACCUUAAACCCUAAGGCCGAGUCCUGUUGUGCUUUAAAGAUUAUUGUGUUUUUGCACGGGUCUUUGGUUUCAUGUCCUCCCUGUUGUUUUCUCAUUUAUUGUUAAUUAUCACUUUGGUCACGCCUGAUUUUGGCAUGUGUUUUAUAUUUUAUAAUCUUGGCAAAAUCACUUCUUUGACGAACACACACCAUUUCAUUUAUCAAACGUACUGUGCAUUGAAACCAGUGGCCAAUAUUCAAACACUGGCCAUUUUUUUUCCAUGUUACACUAAUCAAUAUUCAAUCACAGACUUCUGUGUUUGAUACUUUUGAGUUAUUUAAAGAUAAAAUUAGAUAAAGAGUGCGGCUAUUGGGACCUCCAAAUUUGCUCAGUAUACCUCUCAUUCUCUCUACACCUCCCUUUUACUUUUCAAUAUAAACAUUUUCUCACUAGACCUCAUUUCAAAUUCCUAACAUAACCUUAGUUAUUUAUUGACAUAUAUUUCAAUUAAUUACCUACUUUAACUCUUAUUCACUCAAUAGACCUCUCAUUCAUUUUUUUUUUACCUUUUUGUUUUUGAACAUCCAUUAUCCCUACGGACCCUACCUUCAUUUUUUGAUUAUUUUUUUCAUGCAAGAAAACGUUUUAUCAUGAACUAUUCUAUAUAUCUUUUUAACUUUUGUUUUUCUCUUCUGUACGUGUUGUUUUUUUUUUUCUGUUUUUUUAUUUUGAAUAGUUUGAUCUAUAUUUUAUACCUCAUAAUAAAUUAUUUUAAUAAAUAUAUAUUUUCUAUAAUCAAUAGAGAUAUAUAUAUAUAUUUUUUUUNNNNNNNNNNNNNNNNNNNNUCACAUAAUCGAUAUUUGAUCAUUGUUUUAGCUCUUAUAAACUAUAUAUAUAUAUAUAUAUUUAUAUAUAUGCUUUAAUAAAAAGAAAUUAGAAAACAAAAAUAUAUAAGGAAAAUAAUAAAUAAUGUAAUCAAUUAUUAUUGAAUUGGAAAGUCUAAAGAGAAUAAAUAUAAUAUUUCCUUUUGUAUAAUUAUUGUCCUUAAUAGUCAUUGUGUAUGAGGAUAUAUAUGUCAUUUAAUAAUUCAUAAUAAAGUGAGGUCUAGUGAGCAAAUUUGGAGGUCCCAAUAGUCGCACUCUUAGAUAAAAACCUAAAAUACUAGACCUCUUUUAAGAUAAAUCCAGACAUAUUUUUCUUUCAUUUUACACUCACUCCACAUAAGCAAACUUACAAUAUAGAGCAAAUGUCUAUAAUUAAUAGUUUUAUUCAUUUUUCGGUUUAUCUGAUUUGUCUUUCAGACGGUAUAAAUCUAAAUUUGGUAUCUUUCUCAAUUUUAGCAUCAAUUUGAAACUCAAUACUGAGCUAAAAUUUAGUUGGAUUUAACUUUGUUAUAAUCAAUUAUAUUCUUUAAUUUCUUACCUUGUUAUUACUAACUUGAGUGUAUAUAUAUGCUAUUAUGUCAUUUGUAAUAGAAUGAUUUUUUUCAUUCAUAAGCUCACAUUUGGUGUCUCUCUACAUAGUUGAAAAAUGUAUAAUUGUAAGGUACACGUUCUUGUUCUUUGAUUAAUUUUCUUCUUUUUAGAUAUAUUAUUAUAUUAUUUCCAAUCCUGAUCGAGAGAACAUUUUACUCUCAACUACUUACAUUUUUAAUGUACCUAUUAAGUAGGACAUGAUAUGAUAAUAUACCUAAAAAGAAGAAACCCAAAAUUGGGUUUAGGGUAUAGGACUAAGGUAUAGGGUUAGGGUAUAGGGUUUAGGGUUUAAAGAUCAAAAUAGCUAAAAUGGUUUUUCAUCAUAGAAAUCCACAUGUCAGAAUUUGAAUGGAAUACACGUCAGAUUUCACAUGUUCAUACGCUAACAAUGUAAAAUUUAUUCAUUUUACUAUAAUAAUCAAAUAUCUUAUUUAUAUUAUAUUUUACCUUAUGUAUAGAUCAGGUAAUGAAUUCCUUUCACCUAAAUUUUUUCAUAAAAAAUAAAGAAAACUGCAUGAUUCUGGUAAAUUGAUUGAAAAAUUUUAGUGUUAGAAGAAAAACUCACAAUGAAGGUAUUUAAGACAACAUCAAUUAAGUUUAUUUAUUAUGUUUAUAUGUUAUAGUUGAAUGGUGGUAAUUGUGUAAAAUUUAGAAAAAAUAGGACAUAAUAUGUAUCAUAAUUGAUACAUUUUAGAUGUCUAUUAAAUAUGAAUAUUAGGUGGGUUUUAUUUAAAAUCACUCUUUAAAAUUGAGUGUAUAUGAAAAUCCCCCUUAUUUAAAUCUACUAUAUAUAGUUGAACCAAUAACAUGAUGAACAUACAAGUCUCAUAAAACAUACAAGAGUUUCAUGAUCUUAUUGCCUUCUACUUUUAGACUUUCUGCUGUGAAAUGGCUGAGACUAGACUACUAGAGUAAAAGAUUUGCUAGCACAAGCUUAUCGGUGGUCAUGGCAAACAGAAAGAAAACAUGCAAAAACAAGAAAGAACUUGACUAAGAGCACAUAUGAAGUUUAACAGCAUGGAGUUUCUGGAUGGAGGGAUCAAGGGAAGUAUGGUACCAGGAGAAGAUAAAGAGGAGCUUUCUUACACACCGUGCAAUGAAGCCUGAAAGAGGGUCAAUCCAUUUCAAAGAAGGGAAGAAAUCUCCGAAACUGAAUGACAUUAGUUCCACCAUGAACCUUCUUGAUGUCUUUCCAUACCAAUCACCAUCUUCUACGAACUUCAUACCCAAAUAGUUUCACAAACGAUACAAUAUCGAUAAGUUUUUGCUAAUAUUUUUGGGCUGAAAACUUAUGAAACGACCGAACUGGUUUGAGUAUCCUAUGAGAUUAUGGCAUCCGAACAAAACGUAGUAGUACACUAGUGUUACUGUGUUAGGCUGUUAGCGAAGGUUCAAGUAGUAGUAGUACUUACGAACGAGAUGGGAAGCACCCAAACAGACACUUUCUUCUACUGGGCUCAUCGAUCUGCCUUGGACUAACCAAUUCCGACGAUCGGUCAUUGAUCUUUCGCUAAAAUGAAAAUGUUCCAUGUCACACGUAUUCUUCUUUCAAUUCAUGACCUUCUGGGCGUCCUUAGCAGUUCCAUUGUGACGAAUACCUUCUGUUUUCUCCAUAUCCCUACCUAUCUCUCCAAGUUUGGGCCUUUCUGUUUUGUUUUGGGCUGUAUCCCUUGAGAUAUAUGCUUUUUUGGGCUAAGCCUUUCUUAAAGUUGAAACUUGAAACUAGGGCACCAACUUCUCCGUCACUAAAUGGAGCUGUCCACUCUGCUCUGGCCUUGUGGAAUAGUCAAUUGUACAGAUCAUGUACGUUCUGCUUUUCCUCCAAGUCUCCAGGUACUGCCUAUGUUCUCUGUUCCAUUCCCAUUGGCCAGGAGUCUCUGUUAGCAGGCAUUGUUAAAAUGGGCAGUAAGUGCACCACUUCGUGCAGUGAAUCGUGAUAAUUAAGUGAUUUUUGGAUCCCUUAGUUUGACUGAGCAAGAUCUUGUUAAAAUGGGCAGUAAGUGCACCACUUCGUGCAGUGAAUCGUGAUAAUUAAGUGAUUUUCGGAUCCCUUAGUUUGACCGAGCAAGAUCUUGUAUAAUCUUUCUGAUCAAAUUUUUUUUUAUCUAUUCCCUUGAAAAGAAAAAAAGAAAAAAGAAAAAGGGGGGGGUAUGUUAAUAAUAUAGAUGUGUAUAUCAAAUAGUGUUUUGGGGGCUUUGAACAGAAUGUUUUGGGAUUUCCACAAUCAUACUGGUUGAAAAAUGACAUAACAUCAAUUAAAAGCCAUUAUUUUCGAAACCAAUCAUGUGGUAACUAAAAUUUAUCAAGGACUCAUGGACUAAUAAUUACUACUUUAAUGACUCAAUUUACCGAUUUAAGGUAAUUUUAUACAUGUUCUACAGGAAAAUUCUAGGGUGAGUUGAUGCAUUGGAUAUAAUAAAACUUUGAAUAUAUUAACGGCUUAGAUUAUUCAAUAUUGAUGACUUGUUUACCAGGUAGCAUGUAAUUUUAUAACUUAUAUAUGAAAAAUAUAAUCAAAAACAAAAACAGAAUUUAAAAAACCCUAGCUUAUUAGAAACAGAAAAAAUGAACAAGUCCGUUCCGUUUCGUUCCUCUACCGAUUUGCACUGAUUUGCUAAGAUAAAACCUAAAGUGAAGGAAAAGAAGAGGAGAUGAAGGAGAAAGAGGUUGGCUUCAUAUUCGUUCUGUGAGAAGAGGAGAGGAAGUAAGAGGAGAGGAAGGAGAAAGAGGUUGAUAAAACCUAAGGUAAUUUGCUCUCUCAAAUUCAUUCGUUCUGUGAUGUAUAUGAGUUUAUCAAAUGCCACAAAUGGCUUCACAUUUGUUUUAUGAAUCAUCAUCAUGUAUAUAUCUGUGGCCUGCAUCAUUGAAUGAGAUUUUUCAUAACAUGGGUGCUCCAGCUCUUCAAGCUGAUUUGGAGAAACUGAUUUAUAUUGAGAUUUGAGAUUAGAAUAAUAGAGAGGAGCCCUAGCCAUGUCGAAGCGAGGGCGCAGAGGUUCCGCUGGGAACAAGUUCCGGAUGUCGUUGGGUCUGCCGGUGGGGGCGACGGUGAACUGCGCGAACAACGCCGGCGCCAAGAAUCUGUACAUCAUCUCAGUGAAGGGAAUCAAGGGGCGGCUGAACCGGCUGUUGUCGGCGACAUGGUGAUGGCCACCGUGAAAAAAAGGGAGCCGGACCUGAGGAAGAAGGUGAUGCCAGCUGUCAUUGUGAGGCAGCGCAAGCCGUGGCGCUGAAAGGAUGGUGUUUUCAUGUACUUUGAAGACAAUGCUGGUGUCAUUGUGAAUCCAAAGGGUGAAAUGAAAGGAUCUACUAUCACAGGGCCUAUUGGAAAGGAAUGCGCUGAUCUGUGGCCAAGAAUUACGAGUGCAGCUAAUGCCAUAGUUUGACUGUCUCAACUCACUUUAGAUUGGUUUUUUUUAGUUGUCCUUUGAACUCUAGAUGAGUAUGCCCAUGUGGUGUUUGAACUUACUAUCCUACAAUCAUGUAGACUCUGAUAGUUAAAGAGUUUUUGUUCUAAAAAAAAUAGGGAGGAACAAUGGCCUUAAACUGUAAGCGUCUUAAGUUGGUAUGCAUUUUGACAGAUGGAGCUUUAAACUUCAAUUGAAAGCUGGAAGUCUAGAACCUUGUAUGAUUGAAACCAGCAAGAAGAAUGCUUGCGAGUGAAAUUAACAUCUUUUUGGGCUUUUCAACCUUGGAUUGACGUCAUACUUGAUUGGGGAGAUGAUGUGAUACUCUGAAAAUGUAGAAAGUAAAUUAUAUAUAUAUAUAUAUAUGAACACACAAAAUUUGAGGAUUUGGUCAAAUUCAUAUCGACACGUUAUAAAUGAGGGUUGGCAAGAAAUAUUUUCGAAAUCGAUGAAUAAUAAGAAUGCUCAAAAUGUUAUUCGAAUUUUCUAUGACAAGAUAAAGUCAGUAUUUAUGAUGGUUUAUGAGAAGUUCUUGUAUUCAUAAGAAUAACUAUUUAUCGGGACUUUCCAAAGCUUAGAGAUUAUGAAAAUUCAUUUAAAUAUCGUGAUAACCCGUAUUUUAGGUAUAAAAUUAAUAGCAAUUUGAGUAACCAUAUGUGGAAUUAGUGUUCAAUUAUGCCACAUAUAACUUUUGUAUCAACUUUAUGAAUAUGAUCGUUGGUGACAUCAUAUGAGUAUAUAUGAGACAAUAAAUAUAUUUUUUGUAAUAAAAUAGAUAUUAUUAAUAUAAAUAACAAAAUAGAAAAGAGAAGAGAGGUCUAGAAAGGUCGGUGUCAAAACUGACAUAAGCCACCGACAUCAGCCCUCUCUCGAGAUAAGAGUGGAAAGGGACUGGAUCAAGGGCGAUCCUUCGGGAAGGAUCGAGCAUCCUCAACCUGAGAGAAGAGGAAGGCUUCUGAGGCUUAUAUAGCUUGAGACCCUUUAACAAGACAGGGAGAAGAGGGACGAGGGGGAUCUGAUUGGGAGGUCCAACAAUUGUAGACUGGUCUUGGCGGUGAGCUCUUAUAUAUGUAUUUGCUAGAGUUUAAUAGGGUAUUUGAAUUCGGUAGGUAGCAGAUAUGAUAAUUGGGUUGGGGUUGUGUGCUUGAUUUUGGCUCAAAAUCGUACAUGGUUGUUUUCUGGAAAUUUGAAAAUGGAUUCACUUUUGAUAUAAUGAUUGUUUGUGUUGGCAUAUCUAGGAAGAAGAAAGGUGUUAAUUUGAUGAAUGGGAAACUAGGGUAUGAUUGCUGAGAAAAUAUGGAUUAUGUUCCAUGAAAAUAUCGAUUAUUUUCGAUUUAUUUGGGGUCAGGCUGUUACAGAUGAGUUGCUUUUCAACUGGGGAGAUGAGUUUUUUCCUUCGAUAGAAUUGGGGAGAUGAGUUGGAGAGAGAGAAGACAUCAGGGAUGGCAAGCCAAAUUGAUUUUCUUAAAAGAAACAAAGAAAAAAAAAAUACAAAGUCAGUCAAAUUUCAUCUUACAAGUUAGACAAAUAUGUAUACCCAUAAAAUAGUAGAUGUGUUGUUAUACAAGUAAAAUGUUAUUAAUAUGAGUAAAUUGUCGUUGAGACCAUUUUGAUGUAAUGAGGAUGUUUAUAUUGUAAAUCAUGUCUUUUAAGAAGUUUUAAGCUAUGUGACGACAUUUUUACAUCGUUUAUCGAUAAUUAAGGUGAAAAUAGUAAUUAAUGUCGAUUUCAUGGUAGUUUUUUGUAUGAGAACCAUUAGAUUCAUAAGUCAACGAAUUGUUUAAAAAGUAGUAAUUAAGCUUUUAUUUGUAGUAAUUUUUUCAAUUACAAGUUCGAGAAUUAUUUUACCAAUCUGACAAUAAAUUGUCAUAAUUGUGGUAAAACUGAUGUACAUACGAUAAAUAAGUUGUUUAUGUAAUAUUGUCUUUUAUCUAGUAAUUAAUACCUUACUUUAUGUAAAUUUUGUUGUGAUUGAUAUAAUUACUUGUAAUACAACGUGUUUUACUAUAAAUUACAACAACCAAGGUAUAGCUGGUAAAUAUAGUCGUAUUCUUGAUAUUACUUAGAAUACAAUCCAUUUUAUGAAAAUAACGAUAAUUUUAUCUCUAGUGAUAACAAAUAUUGUAAAUAUUAAUAAUCAAGCCUAAAUUAUCUAAAGUUGUUAAUCUUGUAAAAUAGUUAUUUUUUAUGUAAUUAUGGUCCUUUUUUAAGUAAAUUACACCAUUCAUGAUAUCUUUAUUACAAAUACCACAUUUAGCGUAUUUAGUGAUAAUUACAGUGGUAAACCAAGUAAUUACAGCAUUUACGACCCUCAUUAUAAGUUUUUGAACAAUUCAUGUAUAACAUAAUUAAAAAGUCCUUAAAAUUGUAAUUUUUUCUACACAUAUCACAAUAUUACUGGAUGACAUGUUUACCUGUACAACAAAUUGUUUAUUUUUAUAUAUUAUUAUAAAAUAGUUGAUGCAUACUACGUAUCAACUCACCCUAACCUUCCCAUAUUCUACAUUAACACGCAUAUGAAAGUUUUGUAUAAAGUUGUUGCAAAGUCAUUGCAUUCCUUGUGCACUCAAAGAUAUUUUAGAACGGAAGAAUUUUCAACAUAUCCUCUUUGACUAUCUCUGUUGUUUAGAGUACUUUUCCUACGGACAUAGUACCAAAAUGAAAUGGAUGAGCACAUGCAUGCACAAGAAAAUGAUCGCAGUUUUUGCAAUUGAGUCGACCUAUUUGCAUGAACGUACUAAACAAUUGAGAAGUUGAUUAGUCCAGGCACUACUAGAAAAAUAUGUACGUAAUGGACACUUUUUGUGGAUACAUUUUUUUAACUACUAGAAAAAUAUGCACGUAGUGGACACUCUGUGGAUACAUUUUUUUAACUGUAUUAUUUGAGUAGAGCAAAUGACAAAAUACUAAAUUUAUGUUUUAUAUCAGUAGUCGCCACUCGAGAAGGUGCAAAUUGAAAAACAAAUGAAUUAACAAAGAAAAAAGGUGCAAAUUGUUGAACUUCGGUGCUUCCAUGGCUUGACUUCUCCGACGGAUGACAACAUGGAUGAGCGUAUGGAGUGAAUAUUGUCAUUUGCUCAGCCCUGGCUAGCUCCACAAUGCUAAGUACAGUAAAACCUCAAUACAGACUGGCAAAAUUUAUUAAUUUAACGAGAUAUUAAUUAAUCUGAUAAAUUAAUAAAUUAUUAAUUUAUUGAUUAUUCAAUAACUUAUUAUUUUAUCAAAAUAUUAUUUAAUUUUUUAAAUAUGACUUUUUUAUAUUUUCAACAAAAAUAAUAUUAUUGUGCAUUGUUCAAUUAAUGUCUAUAUUGUCGAAUUUGUUAUUAUGUUAUAGUGUUUAAUAUGCUACUUUAUUCGAUGUACAACAUUUUCAACAUACAAUGUUAAUUAGUUUGGAAGUACUAUAUAUAUAAUUAGUUUAUUGGAUGAACACUAAAUAAACAAAACCAUAUAAUCACACAUCACAUAAGAAAAACAAAAAUGGUUUCUCAUCUCAAAGGAGUAAAGAAAAUCAACGAUAACGGAUGAAAUGCGUAAAAUAUUGUGCGAGUACAUUAAAGACAAUCCAUGCAUGUAGCACUCAAAAGCAUUUGCAACAGUACGUUUUAGAAAAGUUUGACUUGCAAGUGAGUCUAAUGACGAUAUCAAAUACGAUCAAUGCUGACCUCAAUUUUCAAGAAGAAACAAGUCACAAUUGAGUCUUAGAAAUGAGUCAUUCUUUAUUAAGUCUUAGAAAUGAAUAAUUAAUCAUGUGUAUUAAGGAAUUUUCAACAUAUCUUCUUUGACGAAUAGACACUAUAUUACCAAAAAAAUUGACGGAUACAUGCACUAGGGACAACGUGGAUUGCAAUAUCAAUUGAAACAAUGAGAUGUUUGAGUUUGGAAUUUAAUAUAUAGCAUGGCACAAACUACGACGUAGCCAUAAAUAAUGCAACAAUUAAUCAGACUCAAGUUCAUCAGUCUGAUAUUGACUGAGAAUAUGUAAAUUGAUUUUCUUCGAUCGAUCUCUGUUGUUUAGAGUACUUUUCCUACGGACAUAGUACCAAAAUGAAAUGGAUGAGCACAUGCACAAGAAAAUGAUCGCAGUUUUUGCAAUUGAGUCGACCUAUUUGCAUGAACGUACUAAUCAAUUGAGAAGUUGAUUAGUCCGGGCACUACUAGAAAAAUAUGUAGUGGACUCUUUGUGGAUACACUUUUCUAACUGUAUUAUUUGAGUAGAGCAAAUGACACCCUUUUAUAUUUUUAGUAUUCUUUACUUUAUGGAUACUGAAAACUGUGACUAAAGAGAAAAAAAUGGGGAAGGCUAAGAUGAGUUGAUGCAUGAUAUGCGUCAAUUAUUUUACAAUAAUAUAUAAAAUUGAACAACCUGUUGUACAGGUAAACAUGUCGUCCAGUACUAUUGUGACAUGUGUAAAAAAAUUACAAUUUUAAAAAUCUUUUAAUUAUUUUAUACGUGAAUUGUUCAAAAACGUGUAAUGAGGGUCGUAAAUUUUGUAAUUACUUAGUUUACCACUGUAAUUACCACUAAAUACGUUAAAUGUGGUAUUUGUAGUAAAAAUAUCAUGAAUGGUGUAAUUUACUUAAAAAUGACCAUAAUUACAUAAAAAAUAACUAUUUUACAAGAUUAACAACUUCAGAUAAUGUAGGUAUGAUUAUUAAUAUUUGCAAUAUUUGUUGUCACUAGAGAUAAAAGUUAUUUUUGUAAAAAUGAUCGUAUUCCAAGUGAUAUCAAGAGUACAACUAUAUUUACCAAUUAUACCUUAGUUGUUGUAAUUUAUAGUAAAACACGUUGUAUUAUAAGUAAUUAUCUCGCUCAAUCACAACAAAAUUUACUUAAAGUAAGGUAUUAAUUACUAGAUAAAGGACUUUAUUACACAAACAACUUAUUUACUAUAUGUACAUCAGUUUUACUAUUAUUACGAAAAUUUGUUGUCAAAUUGGUAAAUUAGUUCUCGAACUUGUAAUUGAAAAAAUUACUACAAAUACAAGCUUGAUUACUACUUUUUUAACAAUUAGUCGACUUAUGAAUCAAAGGGUUCUCAUACAAAGAACGACCAUGAAAUCGACAUUAAUUACUACUUUCACCUCAAUUGUUGAUAAACGAUAUAAAAACGUCGUCACAUAACAUAAAACUUCUUAAAGGACAUGAUUUACAAUAUAAACAUCUUCAUUACAUCAUAAUGGUCUCAACAACAAUUUACUCAUAUUAUUAACUUUUUACUUGUAUUACAAUAGAUUGAUUGUUUUAUUGAUAUACAUGUUCUCUAAGCUCGUAACAUGAAACUUUGAAGACUUUGUAUUUGUUUUUUCUUUCUUUUUUCUUAUUUCGUUUUCAUCCCCAACUACGGAUCAAGAAGGCAUUGGAUGAGGUAGGAUUGGUACAAGAAAACACAACAAGGAUGAAAUAUUAUUCAAUGGUAUAGUCUUAAGUUAACCUUAUCUGCUUAGGACUUUGGUUUUCAUAAAAGUAGCCAUCCUAAAUUUAACCUUAUAUUUCACAGUUGUCUUUCAUGAAAUAUUAUGGAGUGCGGCUAUUGGGACCUCCAAAUUUGCUCACUUGACCUCACUCUAUUAUGAAUUAUUAAAUGACAUAUUUAUCCUCUUACACAAUGACUAUUAAAGACACUGAUUAAAUAAAAAGUAAUAUUACAUUUAUUCUCUCUAAACUUUCUAAUUCAAUAAUAAUGCCAUAAUAGAUUGCAUUUUAUUAUUUUCCUUAUUGAUUUGUAUUUUCUAGUUUUACCACAUACUUAUUAAAGUAUUUAUAUAUUUAUAUUAUCAUACAUGUCACAUGCAUAUACAAAAUGAAAUUUUUUUACAAAAAUUAUGAUCUAUCAAUUAUAAAAAAAAAUAAUAAAUAAGUAUAAUAAUAUUUUUACAAAUUAUAAUCUAUCAAUUAUUAAAAUCAUUUAUCAUCAUGGGUAUAAAAACAAAAAAUAUAAACUUACAAAAAAAAAUAGUAUGUGUAAAAUAGAAAUACAAAAAUAACAAAAAUAUAUAAUAGUUCAUGUAAGAACAUUCGUUGGAUGAUCGAUAAAUAAAAUUUGAGACACAAUCCUUGUUUUUUUUUUUAAUAUUUUAAGAGAAUAGUAUUCUACUAUUCUUCAUGAUUCGAAUGAACUUUUAUCGAAAAUUGUUGUCAUUGAAAAUAAUUUCUUACAAUUUGAUCAAAAAAUGAAUGUCUAGUGACAUUUUAUGCAAAAUAAAAAAUAGAAAAAAAAUAAAGAAAUCAACGUCGGGAAUGGAGGUUUGCAUUAAAAAGAAAAAAAAAUUAAAGAAUGGAAGUCGGAAAUGGAUGUUCAAAGGCAAAAAGAAAAAAAAAAGAAUUUGAGGGAUAAGUGAAUAAGAGGUGAUGAGUAACAUAUUAAUAUAUAUGUGAAUUACAUAAAUAAGGCUAUUUUAGGAAUUUGAAAGGAGGUCUAAUGAGAAAAUGCUUGUAUUUAAAAGUAAAAUAGAGGUGUAAAGAGAAUGAGAGGUAUACUGAGCAAAUUUGGAGGUCCCAAUAGCCGCACUCAAUAUUAUGCAAUGGUAUAGUCUUAAGUUUUUCAUGAUUAUAAUGGUAAACCAAGUAAUUACAACAUUUACGACCCUCAUUACACGUUUUUGAACAAUUCACGUAUAAAAUAAUUAAAAGGUUUUUAAAAUUGUAAUUUUUUUACGCAUGUCACAAUAGUACUGGAUGACAUAUUUACUUGUACAACAGGUUGUUCAAUUUUAUAUAUUAUUUUAAAAUAGUUAAUGCAUGGUAUGCAUCAACUCAUCCUAGCCUUCCCCUUAAUUUAUUGAUUAUUCAAUAACUUAUUAGUUUAUCAAAAUAUUAUUUAAUUUUUUAAAUAUGACUUUUUUAUUUUUUCAACAAAAAUAAUAUUGUUGUGCAUUGUUCAAUGUCUAUAUUGUCGAAUUUGUUAUUACGUUAUAUUAUUUAAUAUGCUACUCUAUUCGAUGUACAACAUUUUCAACAUACAAUGUUAGUUCAGAGGUACUAUAUAUAUUAGUUCAUUGGAUGAAUAUUAGAUAAACAAAACCAUAUAAUCACACAUCACAUAAGAAAAACAAAAAUGGUUUCUCAUCUCAAAGAUGAGUAAACAAAAUCGAUGAUAACGGAUGAAAUGCGUAAAGCAUUGUGCGAGUACAUCAAAGAUAAUCCAUGUAGCACUCAAAAGCAUUUGCAACAGUACGUUUUAGAAAAAUUUGACUUGCAAGCGAGUCAAAUGACAAUAUCAAAUACGAUCAAGCGAUCAAGGUGACCUCAAUUUUCAAGAAGAAACAAGUCACAAUUGAGUCAUUCUUUCUUAAGUCUUCAUAAAUGAAUAAUUAGUUAUGCGUAUUAAGAAAUUAUUAAUUUAUAUAUUCAUUGGGUCUAUGUGAAUUCUCGUAUUUGUAUUAUCUUAUAAAUUUAACACAUUGUCCCCAACUUGGAACCUGCAAAAAUUAUUAUUUUAGCGAGGAUAUUAAUUAAUCGAGUAUUAAAUUAUCGAAGUUUUACUGUACGUACGUAAAACUAGUCUCCUCAUACAAUGAUCGGUUUGUUAGCAAGCUGCACGUAUCAGUGUAUCACUAUAAAUAUCAAGGCACCGCGAUAGUUCAACUCACACCGUGAUAGUUCAUCGUAUUACUUAUACACCAAGUAUCGAAGAUAUUUUAAAACAAACAAGUUUAUGACGUAUUAAUUUUCUUUGACGAAUACACUAUAUUGCUAAAAUGAUUAAUUGACAAAUACGUAUACAUUAGGAUAACGUGGAUUGCAAAACUUGAGCAAACAUGAGAUGUUUGAGUUUAGGAUUUCACAUUAUAUUAGGUGUUUAAAUUUAGGAUUAAAUUCAGUUUGCCCCCUCGUGCUUUAGGUCAAUAAUCAGUUUGGUCUCAUAUCUUUUUUUUUUAAUAACGUUGGUCUUUGUACUCUCAAAUGACAUCAUCUAAGUCCAAAAUUUGAAUUUUAGUGUAAAAAUGGGUGAGUUUGGUCCUUGAAAAAUGACUUUUUUCAUUGUUAGAAUGUUUAUUUGCCUUUUUGCCUUAUUUAUAGGUUAAAAAGCUCAAAUGUGGAUCUCCAUGUCAGUUUCAAGUCAGCAAAUAAUAUUAUUUUUGAAGCCAUAUUAAAAUUAUGGACUUAGUUGAUGAUGUUUGAGAGUACAAGGACCAACGUUAUUAAAAAACAAGAUAUGGGACCAAACUGAUUAUUGACCUAAAGCACGAGGGGGCAAACUGAAUUUAAUCCUUAAAUUUAAGCAUGAACAUAAUGAAAAAAAUAAAUGGCUUCAAAAAUGUUUUUGUAUAGUAUAAAGACAAAAUAGUCUUGAGUACUAUUGGAUUUGCAAAUGAUAAGAUUGUAUUUUUACUUAAGAAUGACAUGACAUGAUUUUUUAAAUUGAUGAUGUGUUUAGGUGACAUGUCAUACUACCUAGGAUUAAGGCAAAANNNNNNNNNNNNNNNNNNNNNNNNNNNNNNNNNNNNNNNNNNNNNNNNNNNNNNNNNNNNNNNNNNNNNNNNNNNNNNNNNNNNNNNNNNNNNNNNNNNNNNNNNNNNNNNNNNNNNNNNNNNNNNNNNNNNNNNNNNNNNNNNNNNNNNNNNNNNNNNNNNNNNNNNNNNNNNNNNNNNNNNNNNNNNNNNNNNNNNNNNNNNNNNNNNNNNNNNNNNNNNNNNNNNNNNNNNNNNNNNNNNNNNNNNNNNNNNNNNNNNNNNNNNNNNNNNNNNNNNNNNNNNNNNNNNNNNNNNNNNNNNNNNNNNNNNNNNNNNNNNNNNNNNNNNNNNNNNNNNNNNNNNNNNNNNNNNNNNNNNNNNNNNNNNNNNNNNNNNNNNNNNNNNNNNNNNNNNNNNNNNNNNNNNNNNNNNNNNNNNNNNNNNNNNNNNNNNNNNNNNNNNNNNNNNNNNNNNNNNNNNNNNNNNNNNNNNNNNNNNNNNNNNNNNNNNNNNNNNNNNNNNNNNNNNNNNNNNNNNNNNNNNNNNNNNNNNNNNNNNNNNNNNNNNNNNNNNNNNNNNNNNNNNNNNNNNNNNNNNNNNNNNNNNNNNNNNNNNNNNNNNNNNNNNNNNNNNNNNNNNNNNNNNNNNNNNNNNNNNNNNNNNNNNNNNNNNNNNNNNNNNNNNNNNNNNNNNNNNNNNNNNNNNNNNNNNNNNNNNNNNNNNNNNNNNNNNNNNNNNNNNNNNNNNNNNNNNNNNNNNNNNNNNNNNNNNNNNNNNNNNNNNNNNNNNNNNNNNNNNNNNNNNNNNNNNNNNNNNNNNNNNNNNNNNNNNNNNNNNNNNNNNNNNNNNNNNNNNNNNNNNNNNNNNNNNNNNNNNNNNNNNNNNNNNNNNNNNNNNNNNNNNNNNNNNNNNNNNNNNNNNNNNNNNNNNNNNNNNNNNNNNNNNNNNNNNNNNNNNNNNNNNNNNNNNNNNNNNNNNNNNNNNNNNNNNNNNNNNNNAAUAUAUAUAUAUAUAUAUAUAUAUAUAUAUAUAGCAUGGUAGCCAUAUAUAGAGUGCAACAAUGAGACUAGUUCAUCAGUCUGAUAUUGACUGAGAAUAUUGAUCUUCUUCUCUCUCUUUAGACAUUUCCUAUCGUGACACCAAAAUGAUGAAAUAAUGGAUAAGCGCAUGUGCAAGAAAAUGAUCGGAGUAGUUAUUGGAAUCAAAACCAAUUUGCAUGAAUUCAUGCCUCGCUCUUACAUGAGUGAAGUUGAGUUAAUAGUCCGGGAUUAUCUACGUACGUACGACUUGUCCUCACACAACAGUCGCUUUGUUAUCAGUGUAUCACUAUAAAUAUCGAGGCACCGUGGUAGUUUAACUCACACCAGCAAGCUAACUCUCCCGGCUUUAGUUGUUUAACUAUACCAGAGUCUCAGCUUCCAUUUUUCGAGUGCUUCGAUUCCCCUAGCUAUAAUGGAUCCUCUGUUGGUUUCAGCAUCUCAAUCUCAAACCCAAAAUGGCAGUAGCACUGCAGAUGUUGAACGACGUUCAGCUGAUUUUUCUCCCAGCGUUUGGGGGGAAUAUUUUCUGGCAUAUGCAUAUGUGGUAGGUUAUUUUUGAAGUAAUUUGCAGCAUCAAGCACAUCAUAUGAAUAUCAUAUUUAUCUAAUUACCCCCUUCAAAAUUUUCAUCUACUGUAGGAAACUGCUGAUAUUGAAGCCGACAAACGUGUCGAAGAAGUGAAGGAAGAAGUGAAGAGGGUGCUACUUAGUUCUCCGCCUUCACAGAGAUUAGACUUGAUUGAUUACAUUCAGCGCUUGGGGGUGUCACACCAUUUUGAGGAUGAGAUUCACCAACUUUUGCAGCAAAUUCACAACCAAUACUCAUCUUCUUCUUCAGAUGAUGAUGACCUUCACACUGUUGCUCUACGUUUUCGGCUGCUUAGGCAAGAAGGAUUUAAGGUUUCAUGCGGUGAGAAUCGUUCUUUUUUUUCCAAUUUUUCUAUAUAUUUAACAAUGGAUUAUUUCCUCUUAUUUCUUCUCUUGGUUGAUGAUCAUUAAGCAGACAUGUUCAACAAGUUCAUCGAUGUUGAUGGGAAUCUUAAGGAAUCAUGCGUCGCUGACGUACCAGGACUGCUAAGUUUGUAUGAAACAGCACAUCUAAGGAAACAUGGAGAAGAUUUCCUAGAUCGAGCAGUGUCCUUCACUACCACUCAUCUUGAGUCUGCAGUAGCAGCACCCGGCCGUUUAAGCCCCCCACUUUCAAAUCAAGUAGCUCAUGCCUUGUAUCAACCACUCUGGAAAGGAAACCCGAGGAUAGAAGCUANNNNNNNNNNNNNNNNNNNNNNNNNNNNNNNNNNNNNNNNNNNNNNNNNNNNNNNNNNNNNNNNNNNNNNNNNNNNNNNNNNNNNNNNNNNNNNNNNNNNNNNNNNNNNNNNNNNNNNNNNNNNNNNNNNNNNNNNNNNNNNNNNNNNNNNNNNNNNNNNNNNNNNNNNNNNNNNNNNNNNNNNNNNNNNNNNNNNNNNNNNNNNNNNNNNNNNNNNNNNNNNNNNNNNNNNNNNNNNNNNNNNNNNNNNNNNNNNNNNNNNNNNNNNNNNNNNNNNNNNNNNNNNNNNNNNNNNNNNNNNNNNNNNNNNNNNNNNNNNNNNNNNNNNNNNNNNNNNNNNNNNNNNNNNNNNNNNNNNNNNNNNNNNNNNNNNNNNNNNNNNNNNNNNNNNNNNNNNNNNNNNNNNNNNNNNNNNNNNNNNNNNNNNNNNNNNNNNNNNNNNNNNNNNNNNNNNNNNNNNNNNNNNNNNNNNNNNNNNNNNNNNNNNNNNNNNNNNNNNNNNNNNNNNNNNNNNNNNNNNNNNNNNNNNNNNNNNNNNNNNNNNNNNNNNNNNNNNNNNNNNNNNNNNNNNNNNNNNNNNNNNNNNNNNNNNNNNNNNNNNNNNNNNNNNNNNNNNNNNNNNNNNNNNNNNNNNNNNNNNNNNNNNNNNNNNNNNNNNNNNNNNNNNNNNNNNNNNNNNNNNNNNNNNNNNNNNNNNNNNNNNNNNNNNNNNNNNNNNNNNNNNNNNNNNNNNNNNNNNNNNNNNNNNNNNNNNNNNNNNNNNNNNNNNNNNNNNNNNNNNNNNNNNNNNNNNNNNNNNNNNNNNNNNNNNNNNNNNNNNNNNNNNNNNNNNNNNNNNNNNNNNNNNNNNNNNNNNNNNNNNNNNNNNNNNNNNNNNNNNNNNNNNNNNNNNNNNNNNNNNNNNNNNNNNNNNNNNNNNNNNNNNNNNNNNNNNNNNNNNNNNNNNNNNNNNNNNNNNNNNNNNNNNNNNNNNNNNNNNNNNNNNNNNNNNNNNNNNNNNNNNNNNNNNNNNNNNNNNNNNNNNNNNNNNNNNNNNNNNNNNNNNNNNNNNNNNNNNNNNNNNNNNNNNNNNNNNNNNNNNNNNNNNNNNNNNNNNNNNNNNNNNUUAUUAUUAUAUAUAUAUAUAUAUAUAUAUAUAUAUAUAUAUAAACCUCUUUUAACAUGGAUGCUUAACAUGCAUCUAUGUUGUUUUUGAUUAUCGAUAUCAAUCAGGUGGGAUCUCUCUGCCAUGGAUCCACUGCCUAACUAUAUGAAAAUUUUCUAUGAGGCGAUCUUGAAUGCCUACACUGAAAUUGAAGCCGAUCUUGCCAAGGAGGGAAACUCGUAUCGCAUUGUCUAUUUAAUAGAAGCAGUAAGUCUCAUAAUCUCUCAAGGAGAGCUGACUGAUGAUAAUAUUUAUGGUUCAAUUGCAAACACAUAGAGAAUGAUUAUAUAUGUAUUUUGUUCUUUGAUGAUCAGAUGCAAUGUCAAGUUAGAAUGUACUUGAAGGAAGCCAAAUGGUACCACCUAAAGUGCACACCGAAAACCUAUGAUGAAUACAUGAGGGUGGCACUUAUUACAUCCGGCAUGUUUUUGGUAGAAGCAGCAUUCAUUGUUCCAUUAGCCGGUGAAAUUUCGACAAGAGAUUCCUUGGAAUCGUUGUUCAGAGACCCUGACAAUAUAAUUGUGAGGGCUUCAAACACACUUGGGAGACUCCUGAAUGACAUUCGAAGCCGCAAGGUACAAAUACAUGCAUACAUACAUAUAUAUUUACACACACACUAUAUAGUACUGAAUGAGUAAUAAACCCUGACCAAUUUUGUUAUAUAUGGAAGUUUGUAAUUUGUUGCUGAGUAUUAUACAUAUGUGCAGUAUGAGCAAAAGAGAGGAAAUGAUAUCACAGCUAUAGAAUGCUACAUGAAAGAAUACUGUGUUACAGAAGAAGAAGCGUUCGUCGAACUAAAUAAACAAGUGAAUGAUGCUUGGAAGGAUGUAAACGAAGAAUUGCUCCAGCCUCCCCCAACUGUCCCUAGGCCGAUACUGUUGCUGUGUCUCAAUCUUUUACGAGUAACUGAUGUUAUAUACAAGUAUGACGAUGGUUAUACUAAUGGUGGAGUUGUGCUUAAGGAUUAUAUAACUUCUCUGCUUGUCGAACCUGCUCCAAUGUAGGUUAUAAAUCAACACUCGACAUGUUAUCUUCCACGUUAUGACAAAUAAAGACUCGGUCUUAAACCCUAAGGCUAGCUGGGUUAUGACAAAUAAAAGCUCUAUGGUGUUUAAAGGAUUGUUGUAUUUCUGCAUGGGGUUUUGGUUCAUGUCGUCCCCGUUGUUUUCUCAUUUACGGUUUAAUAAUAUGUACAAGCAUGGGAAUGAGCAUCCCAAUUAAGCUGAGUUGAGUGAUCAGUACUACACUCGGUUAGUACAGUGAUACAUUUUGCCCGUCAAGGCUAUCAAUUGAUAUUGUGUUUGUGAACUUUACUUGCUUAAGAACUUGUUAUGCGGCUAGCUUAUGCCAAUGCAUGAUAAAAGUAGAUUGAUGACAUGCAUACUUGGCCUAUAGUUUAGGGCAGCUAUGACAAACACAGAUAGAAUAGUAGGGAUCUUGGUCUUCUAAAAUGAGGAAUAUGUGAAUUUAGUUAAAUUUCAUAAAAUUUAGGUUUUCUAUCUAAUCUAAUGGUCUUAAGAAUUGACACAUCACUAUUAUAUUAACUUUUGAUUUUUGGUCUAAAUCUUGGUUAACUAUAGAUAACUAUCGUUAACUCCAAAGCAGAGAAAAAAAGAUUUCUCGGUAAGACAUUGGUGUCUUUCUUCUAUGUUCUGGUGUUGUUUCUCUCUACUAUGUCCGUCUUUCUUUCUGCUAGCCGCGUUGAUGGUGUUGCUUAGGGCGCAUUGCUGGUCAUUGAAUGAAGGUGAAAUAAGGAAACCUACUUGGGGUUUUUUAUUUUAUUUUUGGUAGUCGAUAUGAGCCAGAUUUGAGGUGUGGAUGACCUAACAGUUAAAAGUAGGAACCCUCUUUGUAGAAAUAGAAACUGAUAUGAGCAGAACCCAGAUGAGAGUAUAGUUCCUUGAUUUUGUUAGGAUUAAUUACAAAACAUCACCCAAAUUAUGAUAUUAUUUCAUUUCAUAUCUAACUACCAAAACUUACAUUUNNNNNNNNNNNNNNNNNNNNNNNNNNNNNNNNNNNNNNNNNNNNNNNNNNNNNNNNNNNNNNNNNNNNNNNNNNNNNNNNNNNNNNNNNNNNNNNNNNNNNNNNNNNNNNNNNNNNNNNNNNNNNNNNNNNNNNNNNNNNNNNNNNNNNNNNNNNNNNNNNNNNNNNNNNNNNNNNNNNNNNNNNNNNNNNNNNNNNNNNNNNNNNNNNNNNNNNNNNNNNNNNNNNNNNNNNNNNNNNNNNNNNNNNNNNNNNNNNNNNNNNNNNNNNNNNNNNNNNNNNNNNNNNNNNNNNNNNNUAGGGCUGGGCACAAAAUCCCGUAAAUCCCGGUCCCGUCCCGGUCCCAUCCCGAUCCCGGCGGGAUUUGAAACUAAAAACACCUGUCCCGUCCCGUCCCGUCCCAUUAGAGAAACAAUGGGACGGGACGCGAGAUUGAAAUUUUGAGUCCCGUCAGGCCCGUCCCGUCCCGUCUAACUUUUAAAAUUCAUAACUAAUUGUAGAAAAAUUAUUUUUGAGAGAUCCCAACUCUCAAAUGAUCUUUAAGAUGUCAUCUAUAACUUUCAUGAAGACACUAAACUCAUAUAACGAACCAAUUUGUACAGUUUUCGAAAAUAAGCCAACUGGUUCAAAUCUCAGAAUUUACUGAUAUAGACCCUAAACUUUAAGAAACCAUAACUUAAUCUAGAAAAAUAGUUUUCACGUGAUUCAAACCCUGGAAUGAAUCUUAAGAUGUCUACUACAAAUCUUAUGAAGACACCAAGAUGAAAUUUCAAAUGCAACUGUAUGAUUUCCAGAAGAAACGAAACUGAUGCAGGAUGGCUGGGAUUGGGCUCGUCCCGUCUAACUUUCAAAAUUCAUAACUAAUUGUAGAAAACUUAUUUUUAAGAGAUUCCAACUCUCAAAUAAUCUUUAGGAUGUCUUCUGUAACUUUCAUGAGAACACUAAACUCACAUAACUAACCAAUUUCUACAGUUUUUGAAAAGAAGCCAACUGGUUCAGAAUCACAGAAUUGACAUGCAGAAUUUAUAGAUGCAGACCCUAAACUUAAAAAAAUCAUAACUUAAUCUAGAAAAAUCAUUUUCAAGUGAUUCAAAUUCUGGAAUGGACAUUAAGAUGUCUACUACAAAUCUUAUGAAGACACCUAGAUGAAAUUUCAAAUGUAACUGUACGAUUUCUAGAAGAAAAGAAACUGAUGCAGGAUGGCCGGGAUUGGGCCCGUCCCAUCCCGAUCCCGUCCCAUCCGGGAUUAGGCCCGGCGAGAUCGAGUCUGAAAAAUGUAAGGCCCGUCCCGAUCCCGUCCCAUGUGUAACAACCGGGACGUGGGAUGACCUCAAUCCCGUCCCGUCCCGUCCCAUGCCCACCCCUAUAUUUUGUUGUUGUCUAAACCCAAAGGGUUCAUUCACUGAAGAACUAAAACCUUCGAGCUAGCAUCAGAAUAAUUAGCUGGCCAGACGAAAGUUUUUAGAUGUUAAAGAUUGAAAUACAUGAACAAUAUAUGGCUUUAAAGAUGUAGAAAAUUCUACAAUGUGUUAAUGCAUGUGAAUGAUGUGAUGCAUCAUUAACUUUGUAAAUUGAGUCCUCAAACUAGUAAUAUUAAUCCUCGAAGUUGUAAUAUGAGUUCUUAAAAUUAUAAAAUUUUCUAGUUACAACAUUAGUAAUCAUGUCAUCAUGUGUCCUUAAAGUGGUAAUUGAGUCCUCAAAGUGAUUAAAGAAAAGUUAUUAUAACUUUGAGGACUCAUAUUACAACUUUGAUGGCUCAAUUACCACUUUAAGAACAAAUAAGGACUAAUGUUGUAAUUAAUUUUUUUACAACUUUAACGACUCAUAUUACAACUUUGAGGACUAAUAUUACUACUUUAAGAACUCAUUUUACAACUUGAAGACAAAGUUGAUGCAUCACAUGCAUUAACACACCCUAAACUUAGUCGAAAGAUUUUAGCUUUGGAGAUAUCUCGAUGAACAAUUAAACUCAUAGGUCAAGUAAAUAUCAAGAGAUCAUUUACAUGAGGAGCCCAUGGAAGAGUUUCCAUGGAAGCACAAAUAGGCAACAAUGCAAACAAAACCCCAAAGUUUUUUUUGGGUGCUGAAAUUCACACACCCAUAUUUACAAACCACACACCCCUUUCAUUUUUUAUUCAUACUUUUUCUCACUUCUUCUUGCACUUCCCAGAAUAGCCUCAGCUGUUUUUUUGUUUUGUUUUAAUUUCUCUUCUCUUUAUCCUCAAAACCGCACAAAACCCUUUCUAUUUUCCUGGGUAGUGGCUUAUGCUUAUCUGAAGGACGAGUUAAUAAUCUGCAAAUCUUUGUGGUGGACAAGAUGAUCUGGACACCCAAUUAUAGCAUUCAUGCGCCCCGGUCAAAUAUUUACGUCUCACGUCCUAGAGACAAAGUCUUCUACUUCUCUCAAGGCCACAUUGAACAGGUUGAGGCAUAUCUAGACACAGACGCUAAUUUGACCAUGCCAAGAUACAAUUUGCCUCCUAAGAUUCUUUGCUAUGUUGUGAAUGUUCUACUAAAGGCUGAAGUUCACACAUAUGAGAGGUCUUUGUCCAAAUAACAUUGCUUCCUGUGACUGAGCAAGAUCAGCUAAGUUUUGAGGAUGAAAAUGCUCCAUCUUUGCCUCAUAGAUAACCAAGACAUGGUUUAGCAAGAAUGCAAGAUACUCACUCCAUCUGAUACAAGCCCCAUCGAUACUGACGGCCCAACCAGCCAGACGUGGUUCACCGUCCCAAUCUUCACUUACACCUUCGCAAACAUCCGAAACGCGUUACCAGAGGCCUCUGCAGCCGUGUCCCAUACCUUAAAGGAGAGUUUUCUGGGGACGAUCGAGGUGCCGGUGUAACCACUAAGGUUGAAAGUCUUGACGGCCAUGACCCGGAGGAGGUCUUGUAGGCGAUGGACCAUUCACACGGCCUCCAUGCUGCUGCUGGUGGGGCUGAUGUCUCAAAGGCCCAGGCGACCCAUCUGGCGUGCUUGGCCGGCGGCGUGACAAAGGCAACGGCAAGGGUGUAGUUGGUGGAGUCGUAGGGACCCAAUGGAGGUAUGAUUGUCUCCAACAGAAUACCAUCCGGUCCCCAACAACUUCCAAGUGUAAAUAUCUUGCACUUCUCUCCCGAAGCGAUCGAGAUCAUGAUCAGAGAGAGAUCCCAACAGAGGUGAGGUUUGAUUUGUGAUUGACGAUGGUAUCGGAAGUAUUGGAAGUGAGGUUUUAGACUUAUGCGUGGUUAGGAGGAGGAGAAAGAGGGAAAAAGAAAAGGACAAAAAAAAAACAUGAGGGUAUUCUAGAAAGUCUAAGAAGAAGUGAGACAAAGUACUAAUAAAAAAUAAAAGGGGUGUGUGGUUUGUAAACAUGGGUGUGUGAAUUUCAGCACCCUUUUUUUUUGCUGGAGUUUAAUGAUAGUUAUUUCAAAGUUAACCAAGCUUUAGACUAAAAAUCAAAAAUUAAUGUAACAAUGAUGUGCCAAUUCUUAAAACCCUUAGAUCAAAUAGAAAGCCUAAAUUUUAUAAAAUUUAACUAAAUUCAUAGACUCCUCACUUUAGAGAAGCCGAAUCCUUACCUUUCUAUCUGUGUUUGACGAUCAGAUUCGAUGAAGCAACUUUCUCAUUGUUUGUCGAACAGUUUGUUUGAUUCUACUCCCUUUUGCCAUGUGAAAUCAGUGGCCUGCCAUUAUUCAAGUCUUGCUUCUGUUUAGUUAACUAUGUGAGAUGUGUAGUCAUUGUUCAAAUCCAGCUUGCGUCAUUAAAAACUAUGUUUAUCUAUGGCCAUGUGAGAUCAGUAGCCAUUACUCAAAUCUUGCUUACCUGCCACCCAGUUUGGACUAUAUUUCAGAGACUAAAUUAUUUCAGGUACUUGAAAGUAUUACAUGAUGACUAGAAAAAUGGUAAGGCUCAUGAAACAUGCAAGGGUUUCAGGGUUCUAUUUGGGGUCCUGCUAAUCUGCUAUUGUACAACCAAAAGUUUACAUGAAAGAUAAAAAAACAAAUUGAAUUGAAGACAUCUAAGAACACCUUGGCACUGCCAUAGCUAUGAGAGGAACUUCUCUGUGGAUGACAACACCACUGCAUUCAGUCAUGUUCAUAUCCUCAGUUCUAGCUCCAUUAGGCAAUCCCCAUUCAAACUAGUGCACAAUAUGUGCUAAAACAAGUUCAAUAGUGGUAAUGGCAAAUAAGAUUCCCGGGCACCCUCUUCUUCCAGCUCCAAAUGGGAUGAAUUGGAAGUCCUGCCCUUUGAAGUCCACACAAGAAUUCAUAAAUCUAUCCGGUUGAGACUCCUCCGGUUCAUCCCACAGAGAAUGGUCCAGGCAUUGACUAGAACCAUGGUUUUUGCCGCUAUGUCACAGCCUUUAAUUUUAGCAUCUUGAGUUGACUCUCUCAAGCUCACCAACGGUAGCGGAGGAUACAGCCUGAGUGUUUCUUUGAUCACAUCUUUCAAGUAUGGCAUUUUGUCCAAGUCACUUUCUGUUAUGUCUUGUUUUCCAUUAGCAAUUCCCAUAACCUCAUUUUGCAGUAUUUUCAUCACUCUGGGAUGCCUUAUGCGUUCACUCAUGGCCCACUCUAGGACUGUGGAGGUUGUAUCAGUUCCGCCUGAAAACAUAUCCUGCACAAAAAAAAACCAUGAAGAUAAUCUUAAAGUUCAAUGAUAUGACACAAAACCAAUUGAUACUACCAUGUAUGAAGUAAACAAAUUUCUUCUCUGUUUAUUUUGACUUACCAAGAUAACAGCUUUUAUGCCAUCUCUAUCAAUGGAAGUGCCAGAGACGUUACUUCAAGCAGGACAUCCACAAAAUCCUUUCUAUUUUCACCAUUCUCACCACAGUUAUCUCCCUUAGUGCUAAGAUUAACCGUAUGCUCCUCAACUAUUGUAUCAAGAAAUUCAUCAAAUUCUUUAGCAACUCUCUCCACUCUUGCAUCUACCCGAGUGAAGUGAUUAACCCAAGAAAGCCAUGGAAUAAAAUCUCCAACAGAGAAACCACCCAACAACUCGGUAAAAUCCCCAAGCAAGGUCUUGAACUUGAUUGCACCUUCAUUUCCACCACAAUACUUCUUCCCAAUAGCCACCCUACAAAUCACAUCAUUAGUAAGCAAAGAAAACAUUUCGCUUAGGUUGACUGGCAAUGACAACAUAGACGAGUUUCUAACAUUCUCAAUCAGCAAUGCUGUUUCUUCCUCUCUAACUCCUCCGAAAGAUUGAACACUUUCGUUACUUAAAAGAUGGAGAACACAUAUGCUUCUCAUUUUCCUCCAAUAUUCACCAUAAGGAGCUGAGGCGACAUCCUUGCCUUGGUAGAGAAGUCUAUCAAUAACUGUUAAUCUUGGUUUGCUAGAAAAGAUGAGAUCAUUUGUUUUCAUGAUCUCACAAGCAGCAUCUGCAGAUGAAACUAUGAUCACAGGUCUGGAACCAAAAUGAAGCAUCAUGAGUCCACCAUGGUACUGCUUAGCUAGUUGUUGGAGGGAUCGGUGAGGGCGUGUGUCAAGUUGGUGGAGGUUUCCUAGUAUUGGGAGCCUUGGUGGUGAUGGAGGCAAUUGAUUGUGUGCUUCUCUACUGGAAAACCAUUUGAUGAGGAAGAUUGUGAACAAGAGCAAGGGAAGAGCAAAUACAAACAGAUUUAACAUAGCUAUUAGUCAAUGCAGUAUGCCUAAUGUUGUAUUGAAUUAUUGAUUUUAUUUGCAAAUAUAUUUGGUGGGCUAAUCAUAUAAAGAGACUAUUUCACACUGGACCUAUCGUUGAGCAGUGGAUCAGUUCUCAGCAAUAAUGUUAUCAAUGUAAACUGGAUCUCAGCAAUAAAGUAUUUUCAGUGGAAACACGAAAGUUACGAAAAAUGUGCUUCUAGUACUAUUGGCUAUAUGAGAGUAACAUAGUAUUACCUCUUCACACAAUAGAUUCAACAGCGCCAUUGCCACAUAAUCGAGGUUGUAAACAAUUAUACAUGCAAAACGUAUAUAACAUACACAGUCACAGAAAUACACAUCAACAUUGUUCUUUCUAGCUUAUUCUAGCUGUAGUAACUGCAAACCUGAAAAAUAUAUCUGACAGAGUUAUACGUGAAGACAAGCCACAGGAAGUGUAUUCUGCAGCCAUCUGAGCUCGGGACAGAAACUGCCGAGCUGGGGGAACCAGAUUGUAUGAUGCGAGCUAGUAUAUGAUAUGAGCAAACUAUAUAUUGUUGUGCUCGAAUUCAUAUUAGGAGAUAAUGUCAACAGUGUAUAUCAAACCAACACAUCCGUCGGAGGCCAAAUGAGAUUGACAGCGAUGAGCUUUCUAACCUUUCUUUCACGCCUAAGAUCGCCAAUGCAUCGUAAAUAAUUCCCUUCCAUCGAAGUUACUGAAACUCCCGACGUCUUCCGAUGUAUCCAAUACUAUGUUGUUCGAGGUUGCAGGAUAUUGCCAACACAGUUCCGGAAGACGAGAACACGAAAGCCGACACCAUCAUACACAUCUUUCGACGAGGACUCUUAAGUUGAGGAUUUGUUAAAAACUUUUUGUUUUAUCUCACUUUUCGAUCUUAUAUACACAUCUUGACCGUUUAGUUUAUAGGUAUUUAUGAGUAAAUCAUUUCUCCAAAAUUUCAGUUUUAUUGAAAAUUGUUAAGAUAUUUAUAAGUGUAAUUUAUUAAUUAUAAACAUGAACGGUUCAUAUUUGACAGAUUUGGUUCGUCCAUUAAUUUGAUCUAAUUUGUUAUCUUAACGAACACCAAUUUAGGUGAAAAUUUGUAAAAAUAAUCUACUUAUCUAAACUUAAAAACUGAACGGUUAAAUUAUCAUUAUAAAAUGUAUCUUUUAAACCAUAAACCGAAAAAGUCAGUUAAAACCCUCACUAGAAACGCUAGCCUAGAUUUGGUUGGAAAGAACAUGGCUUCGUUGUAAAACUAAAAAGAGUUUUACCGUAAAAGAGCAUCAUACAAAAUACAGAGAGGCUUUUGGUGAAGGAAAAAAAACAUUCAUUUAUCUCAUUUCACAAAAUCAGUACUGUACAAUACACAAUUGCGUCAGCAGACUUCAGGGCAUUCAACAUUGACUUGAUAUCCAACCAUGAUAGCGGGUGUCAACCAAAUCUACAUUCAGAUAUCUACACAAUGGAAACAAUCCUACACCUCGGCUAACAUUCGCUCGGUAUGUAAGCAAUAAUCAUCUCCUCAGAUUGUCCCGUGUGAAAAAUGAAUGCCUAAGAGCUUCACGAGCUGUAAGUCUAUCUGAGGGGUCAUACUUCAGUAGCCCCUGCAAGAGGUGGAUAAGGUCACCAGCUGAAUGGUCUACGUGCUGCAUUAUAAGAUUCUGAAGACGAGCAAGUUUUUGAACAGCCUUUAUACUCUCCCUCGACGCAGCACCUUCAGGCCAAUCCAAUCGACCUCUCCUGACAUACUUCUCAGCAUGUCGGCUGUAAUUUCCAUUAGCAAAGUGAGACUACAUUCCUUUAUGAAAAUAAGAAGAAAAAAUUUAUGAACCAGUUAAGUCAAUCACUUACUCUGCUCUCUUCAACAUAUGCUGGGGAAGGGGACCAAGUACCCGCUCCAUCAUGGCAAGGUGCUCCAAGUUUUCAUGUGUCUGGAACAAAGCCUCACCCUGCACCAAGAAGCAAAUAUAGAAUAAAUAACUUGCUCGAUGACAAAACUACCAAGCACAAGAAUCUAGUUCAGCAGACGAACCGUGCACAACUCCACUAAGAUACAACCAAUGCUCCAUACAUCGCAAGGGUAGCUCCAGCCCAUUCCUGCACAAUCAUCAUAAUUGUUGUUAGACAUCUGCUUACAUCAUUCAUCAUAGACAUUUUAAUAAACAUUGAGAACACACUUACCAAGAAUAACCUCAGGUGCACGGUAAUGACGGGUUGACACAAUAUAGUUCUGAUCUUGACGCUCAUAAGUUGUGCUACCAAAAUCAAUAACCUUAAUAGCACUUGACUUUGGUACUCUUUUAUAGUAAGAGCUAUCUUUGGGUGAUCGAGAUGAGCUCUGUAAUUAACAAAUACAAUAGAACAUUAAAUACCGUACAAUCAAAACAUAAAUGACAUUCAAAUGAAAAAGGAUUAGAGGAACAGAACAAACCUUAUUAUAGUCAGGGACUCUAAUGUAAUCAGGAGAAACAAGAAGUAUGUUCUCUGGCUUCAAGUCGGUAUGAAUAAGAGAGAGAUCAUGCAUGACUGCAAAGAAAUGCCAAAAUCAUCAGAAUAACAAGAAAAAUCAGACCAAAUAUAAUUGGUGUAGUGAUAUGCAAGACAAUACAGCAUAGCAUGUGAAAAUGAACUUAUAGACAGACAAUACAAGAGAACAAUUCAUUGCAGCGAAAAAUAGAAAGUAUUGAAGCAAGACAUAUGGAUUGAAAGAAACUAGCUCAGGUAUUUUUACACACAUGCUACACAUUCCAACAGUUGUCUGCCAAUCUCACGGACGAGAUCAAUGGGAAAUGAGCGGUAAUUGUUUUUCUUGAGAAAAUCGUAUAAGCUUGGUCCAAGCUUCUCAAACACCUGUUAAAAACCAUUUAAAUUCACGCACGAGUUUUAACCCCCAAAUUAUUUGUGAAUCGGGGAAAUCAAUCCACCACAGAUUAAUCAUAUACUUACAAUACAGAUAUGGUUACGAUAGUCAAACCAGUUCCGUAAUUGCACACAACUGCAAGGAAUGAACCCAUUUAACAUUCUAACAACUUCAGGGAAAAAAUUCAUCAAAUGUUAUGUGGCAGUAAAAGUAGAAAAAAGAAUCAAAUACUCACCGGCUGCCACCUUUAUCGUGUUUACCAAGUUGUUGCAGCAUCUCAAUUUCAAUCAUAGCUGCUUCACGAUAUUUCUUGAUCCCGCGGACUAUUUUUAUGGCAACCAUUUCCUUUUUUUCUCUGUCCCAGCACUCCAAAACCUGACCAAAUGUACCUUCUCCCAUUUUGCUUUGGAUUUUAUCUGUAAUAGGUGACAGCAGUAUAAAAAUCCACAACUAAGUCAUUGAAACAAAUAUACAAGACUAAGAAACAUAAGCAAACCAGAGUGAUUUUUAUAAAUGGAAAACAGGAUGAUGUGUUGAUAAAAACUUCAUUAGAAGAGAAGUCUCAAAAAACUAAGAAACUGAUCAUCUGAACUUUAUAAGAUUCAGAAAAACCAAAAAAUGCAAAUGAUUUAAUGAUGGUGAGAUGUAAUUACAGCGAGCUGUUAAAUUUUCGCCAACUGAAAACAUGUAAUGCCCAUCCUUGUCAUCUUCUCUCCAUGGGGGUGAACCAUUUCGAGCUACUUCCUUAUCGAAUAGAGAACUAGUGUAGAGUGAGGGUGCCAUCAAAGGAGUAAAGCUUGUCAUAUUCCCAACCUCUUGUCCACAAUACAUUCCUACCUGAGCCUACACAGAGCCAUCCAUUCAUGUACCACUCAAAAUUAAGUCAAAUUCUGCCAACCCCUAUACCGUAACCCCAUCCAUUCCCUCAAGCCACAUCAGAAUCUCAUAACAUGACCAAACUCACAAAUCACAAGAAACAUUCUACCCCAUCAUGCAGUAUAGCGAUCCAAAACAUAAUGAUGGAAACCACAAUAAUAUCCAAACAAUGAAGUAAAGCUAAAUUAGAAUAAAACAAUAGCAUAUUUUUCAAAUACAUAAAAGGAGAGUUAACAAAUUUGAACAGAUUAUUAUCGAAAUCAAUUAUUCAUAAAAAAAAUCAAGAUUUUAGCAAUUAAAUCUACAGCUAUUUAAAAAAACAAAUCAAAACAACAAAUUCCAGGCUUUCAGCAAUUGCUACAAGAAGUUAUUUGGCAAAAAGUCCUUUGUAAAAAAAAAAACUAACGAGUAAAUCGAUCCAAAACUCAAUUUCAAUACUUACAGAACCAGAUUUAAGCAAGAUUUAAUAUAAUUAAUCGUAAAUCCAGGCUCCGAUCUAUAAAGAUCGAAUUAAAAGCUUCAAAUUAACAAAAAUCAUCAGAAACAUAUAUUACAGAUCUAAAUAAAGGAAAACAAGAGCUUUAAUCACAAACUAUAACAAAAUCAACAAGAAAAACCGAGCCUUUUACGUACGAUCUAAUACAACAACCACAAGAAAAUCGAAUCAGAACGAAAAGUCUGGGUGAAAAAGAUUAUACCUUUGGGGCCUGAGGAACGUCCCAGCCCAGACGCGCUCGCUUUCGGGGACGACGAUCCAUGUGAGUGUGAGGAAACUCCACCACGCGCUCCAUCUCCAUGAUCGCAGAUCGGUUAAUCGGAGAUUUCUAGAAGAAAAUUUUUGGGGCGAAAAAGGGAGCCAAGUCUGAAGAUUGAAGAAGAUGAUGUUUUUGUGAGAGAGAGAACCCUAAUUUUAACCUAAUAAAGUGGGGGUGGUGAGGGGUGAGAUGAAAUCGGACGGUACACGUGUCACGUUGUUGUCCGUGGGUUUUGACGGAUUCGUAUUAUCCAGCUCAACCCAGCGUUGUUUCCGUAAUGUUUUAGGUGUUGACUAUGAUUAGGGGAUUUAACCGUGGUUGAGUUUAGCAUCCUCUUUAUAAAAGCAUCGGAUAUUCGGAUAGUGUUAUUCGCAAGCAUUCAGAACCUAAUUUUUUUUUUUUUUUUUAUGUAAAUUUGAAUAAUAAUUUGUGUUUGCUGACCUCAUCCUGACAUCUAAAUAGUUGAUAAUAGAGAAAUAUUUGAAAAUUUGAAUUGUAUAGACAAAGAUUAAUAAUUAGCCAAGAUAUACAUCAAGGAUCAAAGUCCAUGUGACAUUUCUACAUCUAAAUUAAUGUAAUGUAUACAAAUAUCUUUACGUUCUAUAACAUCUCUAUUAGUAUACUUGUUUGUAAUAUGAAAUUUCACUUUCUAUAACAUCUGUAGUAGUAUACUUGCUUGUACUCAAAACUUAAAUUUCUAUAAGUUACUAUAAAUGUGUUAGUCGAGUAGUUUCUCUAUUUAGCAUCUGGUAUCAACAAAAAGAAAAAAGUUUUAUAAACAAAAGUAGUUACCCGAUUAGUUAUUGUUUGUGACUUUAUAAACCACAUGUUAACUUUUAGUUUCGUAAUUCUAAUAUUUUCAUAUUCAAGAGUGGAUUCAAAGAUGUUUUCCACAAAUAACACCUACAAAUGUUUAUCUGAUUUACAGCCUAACAUGUUUCUAUUAGAUCAAAAUAUUAGGAACAAGUAUGUGGUGUUCAGAGGAGGGGAAGUCCCAUGUUCUUGGCUGUUUCUAUUUCUUAACAUUUCAGACCAGCAAGGCAGUACUUGAUCAGAGAUUCAAAGUCAUCACUUCCACUACUACUGGAGCAACCAGACCAGCUAUGUAGAAGAAACAAAGACCCAUCCUUUGACCAUGGAGCAACCACCACCCCCACCGGUAGCAAUCUCAACUCUAUUCACAUUCGUCUUCCCCUUCACCUUCCUCACAAUCUUCCUCCUCAGAUGGCUCGUCCCCGCCGCACCACCACAAACCCGCAACAAAUGCCUCCCUCCUUCACCGCCGCGCCUCCCCAUCAUCGGCAACCUCCACCAGCUCGGCCGCCUCCCCCACCGCUCCUUAAGCCUCCUCUCCCAGCGCUACGGCCCGAUGAUGCUCCUCCACUUUGGAGUCAAACCAGUCCUCAUUGUCUCCUCCGCCGACGACGCCCGUGACGUCAUGAAAACCCACGAUCUCGUCUUCUCCAACCGGCCCAGAUUGUCAGCUUCCGAUAGGCUGCUGUACCAUGGGAAAGGUGUAGCUUCUGCUACUUACGGUGAGCAUUGGAGGAGCGCAAGAAGGGUGUGUGUUCUUCAGCUCUUGAGCGCCAACAGGGUUCAGUCUUUUCGAGCUGAAAGAGAGGAAGAGCUGGGGUUGCUUAUACAAGAAGUUAAGCGUUUAACUUCGGUGUCAUUAUCUGUGAAUUUAAGCGAGAUGUUUGCUUCGUUUACUGUGGAUGUGCUGUGUAGGGUUGCUUUUGGGAGGAAGUAUGGUGGAUUUAAGUUUAGGGAGAUGCUUGGGGAGCUGAUGAGGUUGUUGGGGGGUUUCUAUAUGAGGGAUUAUGUUCCUUGGCUUGCUUGGGUUGAUUGGAUUAAUGGGUCGGAUGCGAAAAUCGAGAGACUUGCCAAAGAGUUUGAUAGGUUUCUUGAUGAUGUGGUGGAUGAGCAUAUGGGGGUUUUGAAAAUGAGAGGAGAGAGUGGAGAUGGGAGUGGAGAGGGAGGGAAGGAUUUUGUGGAUGUACUGCUUGAAGUUCAAAGCUCUGGCAAUGAGGGCUCUUCAAUUGAUAGAGAUAGCAUUAAAGGUAUCAUCUUGGUGAGUAGCUUCUUUUGGCUUGCAAGAACUUUGUUAAUCAGUGAUUGAAUACUGUUGUCUUAGUGAUGGAAUGCUGUUAAGUAGCUUCUUUAAGAAUUUUGUUUAGCAAUUUUCUGUGCCUGCAUUUUCUAAGAACUAGGAAUAUUCAGAAUUGAGAGUUGAAACUGGAAAGGUUGAUGUUAGGUGAGAUCAAGAACAGAAAAUUUGGAAGGGGGUUCCUCUGUUUGCUUCUUAGAACUUCACCCCUUAAAAGUUUGAUUGGUUUAGUGUCCAAGACUAACAGUUUGUCUGCGUAAGUAUUUAGGGAUUGUUAACCUAUUGAGUUCCAAGUUAUUAUCUUUUUAGAUACGUAGGCAACUAGCUAAGCACCAUGAGAUUGUUAACCUAUUUAGUUCCAAGUUAUUACUUUUUAAAAGAAUUUGGUAGGCAACCAGCUAAGCACUGAAUGGUAUAUUUAGAACUGUUGUUUGGUAAUAGAAUUGUGAAUAGACUGGUUUGUUAGAUGAGUUUCAUCAAGGAAGAUCUUGAGUUUUUAUGCGUGAGUGUUUUGGACUUCAAGGAGAGAAUGUGAAGCUACUACGUACUUGAGCAAUAACUUAGUAAGGUCAGUUGAAAGCUUUAACAUCAGAACAAAAAGGCAAGAGUAGGAGGUCAUUCAGAAAUUGACAUUUUAAUGUUAAAUGUGUAGUUUGUCGACUUUUCUGUCAGUUAUCAAUAAAAUUUCAACAUUGUUUAUGAAACUGUGAAUCUCAUCAUAAUCUUAGAUCUCUCCGGUCCUUUGGUUUAGAUUGCCCAAUAUUUGUAUCAGGGCAGUCAAUUCAUUCAAGUGCUGUGUCCAAAUUACUAUAGUUGUUGUUACUUGAGUUGGUUAUCUUAUAGUUGCUGAGAAUGUCUACAUUUUCACUAUACAUGGAUUAUAAAUCAUGUUACUUGGCUUCUUGUAGGAUAUGUUUUCUGGUGGAACUGAUACAACAUACACAGUUUUAGAGUGGGCAAUGACCGAAAUCUUGAGGCAUCCCAGAGUUUGUAGAAAACUGCAAAAUGAGGCGAUGGAAAUUGCUAAUGGCAAACCAGACAUCACAGAAAGUGAUUUAGAUAACAUGCGCUACUUGAAAGCAGUGAUCAAAGAGACACUUCGGCUACAUCCGCCAAUACCAUUACUCGCCCCUCGUGAAUCAACUGAAGAUGUUAAGAUAAUGGAACAUGAUAUAGAAGCAAAAACUAUGGUCUUUAUCAAUGCUUGGGCAAUUGGAAGAGACCCAGCAGAGUGGGAUGAACCAGAAGAGUUUCGACCGGAGAGAUUCAUGAAUUCUUCAGUGGAUUUCAAAGGGCAAGACUUUCAAUUACUCCCAUUUGGAGCUGGUAGAAGGGGCUGCCCAGGAAUCUCAUUUGCCAUGACUACUAAUGAGCUUGUGUUGGCAAAUAUUUUGCACAAGUUUAACUGGGAACUGCCUGCUGGAACAAGUGCGGAGGAUAUAAACAUGACCGAAUGCAGUGGUGUUGUUGCGCAUAGGAAAAUUCCUCUUGUGGCUGUCGCAAAACCGAGGUCUUUCUAGAAUCUUUCUGCUUCUGUUUUUGUGUGGAAGGUCAGGAUAAAUGUCUUAUCUUUCUGGUAUGAACUAGGCCUAUUUGGUUACACCUUCUUGCCUUGCUCUACUUUUCUGUUUGCAUUCUCUUGUUACUUUUUCCGUAGCUGGCCAAAACUCGAGGUAUAACAAGCCUCCUUUUUACACUGUAUUCUACUAUUUUCAGUUUCUGGUAGGACACCGUCACUACUCUACCUUGAUAAGGGUCUUAUUAUGAUGAUGAUCGUAUGACACAGCAGAGAUUGCAACAAGAAGAAAGGUUCAUUUAACAAUGGUUUCCUGUGGUUAAUACUUAAUAGGAGGAGCACAACAGGCCGUCAUAUAAUCAUAGAUCGAAAAUUGGGAACAAGAUUACAUGAUCUUAAUAUUAAUCGACACAGUUAGGGAAAGAACUGCAUUGAGUACAAUUUUCAUGACUUGAUUCAGGGACAGGGAUUGCACUAUGCAUAGAGAAUGCCCUUUCCCAUUCUGGAGUCUCUAGAGAAGAUGUAAAUUACGUAAAUGCAUACGCUACAUCCACACCAACUGAUCUGCAAGAAUAUAGAGCCCUAAUCCACUGUUUCGGAAACGAAGCAGAGCACGAAGAGAAGUUGUUCACCAGAGAUUAAGAAUAUCAUCAGUCUUUUCUGUUGUCAGUGUUUCCUUAUCGUAGUAGUGAUGACAUGAUGUAAUCUGUAGGGAUCACUUCAUAAUCGGUAAAAGUGCUUAUUGAAGAAGCACUACCAAACUGCUUUCACAAACUGCACAUGAAAAUCAUGAUACCGUAUUGCAUGGAUCAGAAAGUUCAGCACAUAUGAACCAGAUCUUAUGCAUAAAUUCGAUUCAAACCGACUUGCUCGAUUACAACAGCUCAUCAUUCUCAUCCCUGAAAUGGUUACCGUAUUUGAAUCGUAUAAGAAAGCAACGGGUUUUAACCAAGGCCAAAGAACCCUGCAUGACUAGUCCAAUGAAUGAGACCCCCUUGACCACCGUUUAAAUUGUGCAUGGCUCCAAAUUAUCAACCAAAGCCGCAAUCUCAUUUAACACGGCCUAAUAAUUCCAUGGACCGACUCGAGCAUGAUAAACAUGUACCAUUACGUACUAUGUCAGCUUAGGCAAUACACAUUACAGAGGAAAAUCCAACACUUUCAUGUCUCAUGAUUAUAUGCCGGAGCGAGCUAGUCAUUGGUUCAUUACCUUGCCCGUAAUAUCUAGCUAGCUAGCUAGUGAUUAGCGUCAUAUUUGUCAACAAUAAAAAAAAUAUAGAUUUUAGGCCUCAUCAUUUGGUUCAUAAAAAUGAAAAUAAUUAGUUUGUCUUUCUCAAUAUGUACAUGAACUAUCUUUUCUGAUAUUUCUUAAAUUAAAAAAAAGGUAGUCAUAAUUGUUAUUGAAAAAUUUGUUAGUCAGAUAAUGUACUAAAUAAAUGCAACAAAAGAAAAGAGAAAACUCAUAUUUUUUCAUGAAAGUUCAUACUUUCUCGAUACUUCCAUUCCGCAAAUCAGACGUCGACGAUAUGCUUCCAUACAAUCAAGAUCUAUAGUAUUAGGACGUGUUGAUAUGGAGAGCGAGAUCGUAACCAGAAAGAAAUCGAGAACCACGAAACUCCUUUCUUACGAAGAUAAGAUGCAUCAUGCAUGAGCAGGCACUACGUACUGCUGUCAGUUUUGUUUUCUAUUUAAACACACAAGCCAGCACAGCAGUGUGAGCACGUACUCAAACUCAUUUCUGAAAGAAUAGAAGAAGAACUUGAUCCACUUGCAAAUAACAACAUGCCGGAGCUGAGUGAAACCUUGUCACUAGCACCGCUUCUAGCCAUUACUCUCCUCUUCCUAUACAAAUGGGCCUCCACCAGUAUAGAAAACUCGCCACCUUCUCCACCAAAACUCCCGAUUCGCGGAAACCUUCACCAACUAGGGUUACACCCUCAUCGCGCACUCCGAGACUUGGCUCAGAUCCAUGGCCCCCUCAUGCUCCUUCACUUUGGAAGCAACCCUGUCCUCGUUGUUUCCUCGGCUGAGGAAGCCCGUGAGAUCAUGAAAACCCAUGACCUCUCUUUCUCCAACAGACCCAAGACGUUCGUCUUUGAGAAGCUGCUCUACAAUUUCAGAGACGUAGCGUCGGCGCCUUAUGGAGAGUACUGGAGGCAGAUGAAGAGUUUAUGUGUUUUGAAUCUCCUGAGCCACAAAAGGGUUCGCUCUUUUCGCGCUGUUAGGGAGGAGGAAGUUAAUUCGAUGAUCGAAAAGAUAAAGGAAUCUUCAUCAACAUCAUCGGUUGUGAACAUGAGCGAAACGUUUGCUACGCUGACUAAUGAUGUCACCAGUAGAGUUGCUCUGGGUAGGAAGUACAAUACUGGUGGGCAGGGGCGGAGCUAUAUGUUGGCAAGCCUGGGCAAAUGCCCACCCAUCUUUUGUAUUUCUCACAAAUUGAGAUGAACUUUUCUCACAAAUUUAUUGCAAAAUUACAACUUAUUGAUGAUCUUGCCCAACCAAGAUCACCGCAGGAAGAAAACGAAGAGGUUUCAGGGAGUUCAGGCUUGCAGCAAGUCAGCAACGUACGCUGCUGCGCCGCCUGCGUGGGGAAGAGCCUUUUCAGCUAUGAAGAUCAUCAAAAGUCCACUUCGUAAUCGAAUGAGAGAUCAGUGGUUGAACGAUAGUUUGAUUGUUUACAUUGAGAAAGAUGUUUUUGCUUGUAUUGAUAAUGAAAUAUUGAUGCAACGUUUUCAAAACAUGAAAAGUCGUCGAGGACGAAUGUAGCUUGUAAAAAUUUUGUUUUCAUGAAUGAUAAUGUUGUUUUAGUCUGCCCAGGCAAGAAAACAUUUCUAGAUCCGCCCCUGCUGAUGGGAAGGUUUGAAUGAUCUGUUGGAGGAGUUUGUAAAGCUAAUAGGACACAUCAAUAUUGGGGAUUUUAUCCCAUGGCUUGCUUGGUUGAACCGUAUGAAUGGUUUGGAUGCUAGAUUGGACAGGGUGGCCAGACAGUUUGAUGAGUUCUUGGAGAGAGUGAUUCAAGAGCAUGUAAGUAGUUCCGAAAGUAGAACUAACGGCCAUGCUCGUACUGAGAAUGACAAAAAGGAUUUUGUGGACGUUUUACUUGAAAUUCAGAAAGAGAACUCACUUGGCCUUCCCCUCGAAAGAGUUAGCAUAAAGGCACUUAUCUUGGUACGGUUACCUUGGUCUCCCUCUGGCUGCAUCACUUGUUUAAUCAACAUUUUUCUAUUAUAUUAUAUACUAUAUAUGUCAUUCAAUCGUAUAUAUAUAUAUAUACACACACACAAUUUUUCAAUAACUUCUGUUCAUCAAGCUUUCAAGGAGUUAGAUUUCUCUACGUACUUAAUACGUACAUGUUCUUUUGUCUAGCUAGCUCAUCAAUCAUCAUGUCUUAUAUACUGUUGUCGUAUGAUUAUUAGUUUGAACUACAUACCAAUAUACAUGCCACGAGAGCAUGAACGCCAAUAUCAUUAGAUAAAUUUUGUUACAUGCACAAGACUACGAGUACAGUCUGUAUGUGUUUGCAUGGAACCUUGACAUAUUAGUUAUUGUUACACAGUAAUUAUCUGAAUACGUAAAUAACCGUAUAGAUCGAAUAUGAAGAGGUGGAUUUGAUCUGUAGUCUUAUGAUCUUUGAAUUGCAUUUGUAAUAUAUAGCAUCAAGUUAUAUUAGAUGCUAGAUGUCUGAAUUAAUCGACUAAUUAAUAUAUUUUUUUUCUUAUAGGAUAUGUUUGCUGCUGGAACUGAAACUACGUAUACAUUCCUGGAAUGGGCACUAAGUAAGCUUUUAAGGAAUCCAAUGGUCAUGAGCAAACUGCAGAAAGAGAUUCGGGGAAUAGUCGGAGACAAGAAAGACAUAACGGAGGAUGAUUUGACCGGAAUGCACUACUUGAAGGCAGUGAUCAAAGAGACUUUUCGCUUGCACCCUCCGGCUCCGUUACUAGUGCCCAGGUUAUCAACCCGCGAAGUGAAAAUAAAUGGUUACAACAUUAAAGCCAACACACAAGUCACAGUGAACGCAUGGCACAUUGGAAGAGAUCCCAACACAUACAAGAAUCCAGAAGAGUUUGAGCCGGAAAGGUUCCUGAUUCAGAACGAUAUAGAUUACAGGGGAAAUGACUUCCAACUUAUUCCAUUUGGAGCUGGUAGAAGGAUAUGUCCAGGUAUUCAGUUUUCCACGGCUCUUAAUGAGAUUGCUUUGGCAAACAUACUGCACCAAUUCAAUUGGGAAUUGCCUGAUGGAGCAAAAGGCCAGGAUUUGGAUAUGACGGAAUCUACUGGAAUAACCAUACAUAGAAAAAAUCCUCUUAAAGUCGUGGCUGUUCCAUAUUUUCAUUGAAAGUGUGGCCUGUGUUGAAUGUAUUUGAUAUGCAAAUGUAGUACAUGUAAUGAGAAUAAGACAUUGUUAUGACAAAGAUAUAUUGUGUUUAGUGAAGACUACAAAUUAAUGUUACGUACGAUGAGCUAUAAACUGUACAACAUACAAUUGACGAUACAAUUGAUUAUAGGGUAUUGUAGAAAUGCUCCAUAUGAUAUAUAUAUAUUAGAUCGACGUGAAUACGUAACGUGAUUAACACCGGCCUUGCUUUCAGAUCUAGUAUUGUGUUUUGUCCAAUUGAUCAAGAUGAUAGAUAUAUGAGGACCGAAUUUGUGUUGUUGUAGUUGCUUUCUUUUUUUUGUGUGGAGAAGAGUGUUUUGAUUCUUACAUACUGAUAGAAUAUGUGACCACUGACUUAUGUAUGUUAAUUGAUCAAUUGGGAUGCCGGCCGUAAAAUAGGAAAAUGAUAAUUGGUCUAAAUGAGACCUAAGAUUUAAGAUCUCAAUUCUAAGUGUCAUCCAUCACUUGCCAAAUUAAUUAAUUAAUUAUAUAUAUAAUUAAUUAAUUAAUUAUAUAUAUAUAUAUAUCAUUCAUGCAAAAUUUCAUCCAAAUUGAUGAUCGUUAAAGUACCGAAUUAAAUUAAAUCAAUGAACGGACCAUAAAUCUGUCUAACAAGAAGAACUGUCUGUGUAAAUAAUGAUUACGAAAACCAAAACGAUCUUCAAANNNNNNNNNNNNNNNNNNNNUCGUCGUCGUCGCUCUCUCUCUCUCUCUCUCUCUCUCUCUCUCUCUCUCUCUCUCUCUCUCUCUCUCUCUCUCUCUCUCUCUCUCUCUCUCUCCAGACCAUCACUCUCAUGCAGGACUCUCUCUCCAUUCUCACCGCUCCUUCCUCCACCGCCACCUUGAACUGCACCACCCCCACCAACGCCACCUCCAACUGCCACCUCCAACUGCCAUGCUCUCAUCGACUUCGUCCCCACAAACGCCACCACUCUCAACGCCGUCAAGACCCUCUUCAACAUCACCCGGCCACCUUCGCACCCUCCUCGGAGCCAACAACCUCCCCCUCUCGACCCGACUCACCCGUUUUCGCUGCCAGCAUGCUCCUCGUCCCCUUCUCUUGCACCGAGCCUCAGAUCUGGGUCUGAUCUUCGCCACCACAGACGCCACUGCCGCCACCUUUCUCUCUCUACCAAGCCUUCCCGCCAACCCACCACCGUCCCUCGAAAUUUCAAAAUGGUAAGAAAUCAAGGUAAGUUCUUCAAUUUUUCUGGUUUAAUUAGCAUUGGUGAUAGAUUUAUGUGUUUUUGUUUAAUUUGAUUUUGAUUUUGUUUUUGAUUUUAAUUUUGGUUAGGAUGUGAUUGGUAUGAUGGUGGUGACAUGAUGGUUAUUUGGUACGGUGGUGGUGGUAUAUUUGGGGCAUUGUUGGCAUGAAAUUGAUAGGGAGAUACUGUAUUGAAGUUUACUAACCCCUAGUAAAAGUUUACUGGGGGGCAGUAAACUUCCACUGGGUUUACUAGAGGACAAUGAAUUUGUUUAUUAGGGUAAGAAUGGGUAUCUGUUGUGUAUAAUUGACUUGAAAUUGAAAGGGAGAUAUUGUAUUGAAUUUUACUGAUCCCCAGUAGAAGUUUACUGGGGGGCAGUAAAUUUCUACUGGGUUCACUAUGGGCCAAUAAAGUUGUUUAUUAGGGUAAGAAUUGGUAUCUGUUGUGUGUUGUGCCUCUAAAAUUGAAAUUGAGUUAUUUUUUGCAAGUUUACUGAUCCCCAGUGGAAGUUUACUGGGGGGCAGUAAACUUUAUUUUUUCCAUACGCAGUUUAUAAAUACAAGUUUUUACUACUUAUAUAUAUGCAAGAUGAGAAGAAGUUCAAGACAUUUAGUUAUGACUUCUGAAACCUGCGGUGGUGGUGGUAUUUGGGUCGGUCGAUGUGAGUGGAUAAAAAACCUACGGUCGCGUUUUUUUUUUAAAUUUUUUUCAUCCUUUAGUGACGAAAUUCAACUAUUCCAUCUCCUAAGUGGAUAAUUAUUUUUUAUUAUAAAAUAAAAUUUGUCGCCUAAGUGUUUAGGAGAUGAAAGUAUACCGUCUCCUAAGAACCACUUAGACGACGGAAUUCUAGGUUCCGUUGCCUUAAUGUCUACCUCACCACACUUAGGUGACGGAUCUUAACCGACGGACGUUCCGUCUCCUAAAUACUUAGGCGACGAAAUCUGUCACUUAGGAGACGAAAUAAUUAUGUCUCCUAAGUGCUUUUUUCCAGUAGUUAUUGUAGUGUUUGGGAUGGAUGGGAACCUUAUUACAGUUGACCAAUAUAUAUGAGGAUCCUUAUUUCAGUUGACCAAAGAUGGGAUCCGAAUUAUAUAUAUCAAUAUCAAUAUAUGCAUGCCCGACUUUUUGUUAAGCAGAGAGUUCAUUAGCGAAGACACACAUACAUAAUUUUCCUGAUGAUGAAAAUGCUUGAGCAGUUGAUCCAUGAAAGCUUCUUUUCCCUGCAAUCUUUUCCCAUCACAUUAGUUCUAGUUUUACCCGUUUUCUUCAUUACCCUCUUUUUAUAGAGAUCAAUGGUCCUUAAUCUCACUUGCUACAAAAACUCACCACCUUCUCCGCCAAAGCUUCUUGUGCUCAGACAACUUUUGAAAAUAGGCUCAAACCCUCAUCGAUCACUUCAAAAACUAGCUCAACGUUAUGGCCCUGAUCUCAUGCUCCUCUAUUUGGGAACUGCCCCACUGGUUAUUGUCUCGUCGGCUGAGGCUGCAAGUGAGAUCAUGAAAACUAAUGAUCUAGACCCAAGUCUGUCAUCUUCCAGAAGCUUCUCUACAAUUACAAAUGGGGGUUUUGAAAAUGAGAGGCGAGAGUGGUGGAGAUGGGAGUGGAGAGGGAGGGAAGGAUUUUGUGGAUGUACUGCUUGAAGUUCGAAGCUCUGGCAAUGAGGGCUCUUCGAUUGAUAGAGAUAGCAUUAAAGGUAUCAUCUUGGUGAGUAGCUUCUUUUGGCUUGCAAGAACUUUGCUAAUCAGUGAUUGAAUACUGUUGUCUUAGUGAUGGAAUGCUGUUAAGUAGCUUCUUUAACAAGUUUGUGUGCCUGUAUUUUCUAAGAACUAGGAAUAUUCAGAAUUGAGAGUUUGAAACUGGAAAGUUUGAGGUUAGGUGAGAUCAAGAACAGAAAAUUUGGAAGUGGUUCCUCUAUUUGCUUCUUAGAACUUCUCCAGCAGUGGUUGAUAAAAUAAUUGAUAAAUUUGGAUGAAAGUUAUAUUUAUUAAUUCAUUUUGAGAGUUUUGCUCUAGCAGAGUAGCUAUUACAGAAAAUUUAGCUAUUCAUUGACAAAUUCUCUCUCUUAAAUUGAUAAAUUUGUCAAUUUUGUUUAUCAAUUUCUAAAUUUAUCAACUUCUUAAGUAUAUUGCUGGAGCAAAGAUUCAUUUAAAAAUUGAUAAAUCUCUAAUUUUUUUUUUAAAUUUAUCAAUGCUACUGGAGAUGCUUUCUUGGUUUAGUGUCCAAGACUAACAGUUACUCCACAAUCUACGUAAGUAUUUAGGACAUAGCAUCUCCAGCAAUAGAGUUAAAUUUAUUGCUAAAUUUUUCAACAUUUAGAUUUAAAAUAACAAUUUUUGAACUUUUGCUGUAGCAGUAUUGUUAAAUUAUAUACAUUAGCUAAGUUUUAGUUAAUUGUCUCCCAAAGAUUGAUAAAUUUAUCAAUUUUCUCUAUCAAUUUCUAAAUUUAUCAAUUUCUUAAGUAUACUGCUGGAGCAAAUAUUCAUUUAAAGAUUGAUAAAUCUCUAAUUUUUUUUUCAAUUUAUCAAUGCUGCUGGAGAUGUUGUGUUCCAAGUUAUUAUCUUUUUAGAUACGUAGGCAACUAGCUAAGCACCGAAAGGUAUAUUUAGAACUGUUGUUUGGUAAUAGAAAUGUGAAUAGACUGGUUUGUUAGAUGAGCUUCAUCAAGGAAGAUCUUGAGUUUUUAUGCGGGAGUGUUUUGGACUUCAAGGAGAGCAUGUGAAGCUACUACGUACUUGAGCAAUAACCUAGUAAGGUCAGUUGAAAGCUUUAACAUCAGAACAAAAAGGCAAGAGUAGGAGGUCAUUCAGAAAUUGACAUUUUAAUGUUAAAUGUGUAGUUUGUCGACUUUUCUGUCAGUUAUCAAUAAAAUUUCAACAUUGUUUAUGAAACUGUGAAUCUCAUCAUAAUCUUAGAUCUCUCCGGCCCUUUGGUUUAGAUUGCACAAUAUUUGUGUCAAAGCAGUCAAUUCAUUCAAGUACUGUGUCCAAAUUACUAUAGUUGUUGUUACUUGAGUUGGUUAUCUUAUAGUUGCUGAGAAUGUCUCCAUUUUCACCAUACAUGGAUUAUAAAUCGUGUUACUUGGCUUCUUGUAGGAUAUGUUUUCUGGUGGAACUGAUACAACAUACACAGUUUUAGAGUGGGCAAUGACCGAAAUCUUGAGGCAUCCCAGAGUUUGUGGAAAACUGCAAAUUGAGGCGUUGGAAAUUGCUAAUGGCAAACCAGACAUCACAGAAAGUGAUUUAGAUAACAUGCGCUACUUGAAAGCAGUGAUCAAAGAGACACUUCGGCUACAUCCGCCAAUACCAUUACUCGCCCCUCGUGAAUCAACUGAAGUUGUUAAGAUAAUGGAACACGAUAUAGAAGCAAAAACUAUGGUCUUUAUCAAUGCUUGGGCAAUUGGAAGAGACCCAGCAGAGUGGGAUGAACCAGAAGAGUUUCGACCGGAGAGAUUCAAGAAUUCUUCAGUGGAUUUCAAAGGGCAAGACUUUCAAUUACUCCCAUUUGUAGCUGGUAGAAGGGGCUGCCCAGGAAUCUCAUUUUCCAUGACUACUAAUGAGCUUGUGUUAGCAAAUAUUUUGCACAAGUUUGACUGGGAACUGCCUGCUGGAACAAGUGCAGAGGCUAUAAACAUGACCGAAUGCAGCGGUGUUGUUGCGCAUAGGAAAAUUCCUCUUGUGGCUGUCGCAAAACCGAGUUUUUUCUAGAAUCUUUCUGCUUCUGUUUUUGUGUGGAAGGUCAGGAUAAAUGUCUCUUAUCUUUCUGGUAUGAACUAGGCCUAUUUGGUUACACCUUCUUGCCUUGCUCUGCUUUUCUGCUUGCAUUCUCUUAUUACUCUUUCGGUAGCUGGCUAAAACUCGAGGUACUAUAACAAGCAUCAUUUUUACACUGUAUUCUACUAUUUUCAGUUCCUAGUAGACACCGUCACUACCCUACCUUGAUAAGGGUCUUAUUAUGAUGGUGAUCAUAUGACACAGCAGAGAUUGCAACAACAACAAAGGUUCAUUUAACAAUGGUUUCCUUUGGUUAAUACUUAAUAGGAGCACAACAGGCCGUCAUAUAAAUGAUAUAAUCAUAGAUCGAAAAUUGGGAACAAGAUUACAUGAACAUAAUAUUAAUCGUCACAGUUAGGGGAAGAACUGCAUUGAAUACAACUCUAGAAGCAGAGCAAGAAGAGAAGUUGUUCACCAGAGAUUAAGAAUAUCAUCAGUCUUCUCUGUUGUCAGUGUUUCCUUCUCUUAGUAAUGAUGACAUGAUGUAAUUUGUAGGAAUCACUUCUUCAUAAUCGGUAAAAGUGCUUAUUGAAGAAGCACUACCAAACUGCUUUGACAAACUGCACAUGAAAUCAUGAUACUGUCAUGCAUGGAUCAGAACUUCAUCAGAAAUUCAGCACAUAUGUACCGUAUGCUUCUUGACUAUAAAUAGUAGGCUGAGCGAGAUACUAUCCGAAUCAAAUCGUAUUGAACCAGAUCUUAUAUCAUCAAGAUAUCGUUUAGAUCGAGGAAAAUGCAUAAAUCAUUCUUAUCCAUGAAAUGGUAUAAGAAAGCGACGGGUUUUAACCAAGGCCAAAGAACCCUGCAUGAUUAGUCCAAUGAAGGAGACCUCCUUGACCACCGUUAAAAUUGUGCAAUGAAUGAGGCUCCAAAUUAUCAACCAAAGUCGCAAUCUCAUUUUACACGGCAGAACUUUUGCCUAAUAAUUCCAUGGACCGACUCGAGCAUGAUAAACAUGUACCAUUACGUAAUAUGUCAGCUUAGGUAAUACACAUUACAUAGGAAAAUCCAACACUUUGAUGUCUCAUAUCAGAGAAAAGAGAAAUGUAAUAAAUAAAUGCAACAAAAGAAAAGAGAAAACUCAUUUUUUUCAUGAAAGUUGCAUAAAAUCGAGAACCACGAAACUACUUUCGUACGAAGAUAAGAUGCAUGAGCAGGCACUACGUACUGCUGUCAGUUUUGUUUUCUAUUUAAACACACAAGCCAGCACAGCAGUGUGAGUACGUACUCAAACUCAUUUCUGAAAGAAUAGAAGAAGAACUUGAACCCGAUCACUUGCAAAUAAAAACAUGCUGGAUCUGAGUGAAACUUUAUCACUAGCACCGCUUCUAGCCAUUACUCUCGUCUUCCUAUACAAAUGGUCCUCCACCAGUACAGAAAACUCGCCACCUUCUCCACCAAAACUCCCUAUUCUCGGAAACCUUCACCAACUAGGGUUACACCCUCAUCGCUCACUCCGAGACUUAGCUCAGAUCCAUGGCCCCCUCAUGCUCCUUCACUUUGGAAGCAUCCCUGUCCUCGUUGUUUCCUCGGCUGAGGGAGCCCGUGAGAUCAUGAAAACCCAUGACCUCUCUUUCUCCAACAGACCCAAGACGUUGAUCUUUGAGAAGCUGUUUUACAAUUUCAGAGACGUAGCGUCGGCGUCUUAUGGCGAGUACUGGAGGCAGAUGAAGAGUGUAUGUGUUUUGAAUCUCCUGAGCAACAAAAGGGUUCGCUCUUUUCGUUCUGUUAGAGAGGAGGAAGUUAAUUCGAUGAUCGAAAAGAUAAAGGAAUCAUCAUCAACAUCAUCGGUUGUGAACAUGAGCGAAACGUUUGCUACGCUGACUAAUGAUGUCACCUGUAGAGCUGCUCUGGGUAGGAAGUACAAUACUGGUGGGGAUGGUUUGAAAGAUCUGUCGGAGGAGUUUAUAGAGCUACUGGGGCACAUCAAUGUUGGGGAUUUUAUCCCAUGGCUUGCUUGGUUGAACCGUAUGAAUGGUUUGGAUGCUAGAUUGGACAGGGUGGCUAGACAGUUUGAUGAGUUCUUGGAGAGAGUGAUUCAAGAGCAUGUAGAUAGUUCCGAAAGUAGAACUAAUGGCCAUGCUCACACGGAGAAUGACCAAAAGGAUUUUGUGGACGUUUUACUUGAAAUUCAGAAAGCAAACUCACUUGGCUUUCCCCUCGAAAGAGUUAGCAUAAAGGCACUUAUCUUGGUACGGUUACCUUGCUCGAUCUCCCUCUAGCUGCAUCACUUGUUUUGUUAUUAAUCAAUCUUUUCUUUAGAUAUAUAUAUUAUGCCAUUCAAUCGUAUAUCUAUACAUAUAACACAACUUUACAAUAAGAUUUCUCUACGUACGUAAUACGUACAUGUUCUUUUGUCUAGCUCAUCAUGUCUUCUAUACUGUUACUAUUAUUAUUAUUAUUUUUGAGUACUCUUUUAUAUUAUUAUUGAUCAUUAGUUUGAACUACAUAGCAGUAUAUACGCGAGCAUGAACGCCAAUAUCAUUUGGUAAUAAAUUUGGCUACAUGCACGAGACUACGAGUACAGUAUGUACAUGUGUUUGCAUGGAACCUUGACAUAUUAGGUUAUUUAGUUACUGUUACAUAUGCACUGAUGCACUGUAAUUAUAAUGCAAAGAGCUGGAUUUGAUCUAGUCUUAUGAUCUUUGAAUUGCAUUUGUAAUAUACAGCAUCAAGUUAUAUUAGAUAUGCUAGCUAGAUGUCUGAAUUAAUCGACUAAUUAAUAUAUUUUCUUAUAGGAUAUGUUUGCUGCUGGAACUGAAACUACAUUUGCAUUCCUGGAAUGGGCAGUAAGCGAGCUUUUAAGGAAUCCAAUGGUCAUGAACAAGCUGCAGAAAGAGAUUCGGGGAAUAGUCGGAGACAAGAAAGACAUAACGGAGGAUGAUUUGACCGGAAUGCACUACUUGAAGGCAGUGAUCAAAGAGACUUUUCGCUUGCACCCUCCGAAUCCGUUACUAGUGCCCAGGUUAUCAACCCGCGAAGUGAAAAUAAAUGGUUACAACAUUAAAGCCAACACACAAGUCAUAGUGAACGCAUGGCACAUUGGAAGAGAUCCCAACACAUACAAGAAUCCAGAGGAGUUUGAGCCGGAAAGGUUCCUGAUUCAGAACGAUAUAGAUUACAGGGGAAAUGACUUCCAACUUAUUCCAUUUGGAGCUGGUAGAAGGAUAUGUCCAGGUAUUCAGUUUUCCACGGCUGUUAAUGACAUUGCUUUGGCAAACAUACUGCACCAAUUCAAUUGGGAAUUGCCUGAUGGAGCAAAAGGCCAGGAUUUGGAUAUGACGGAAUCUACUGGAAUAACCAUACAUAGGAAAAAUCCUCUUAAAGUCGUGGUUGUUCCAUAUUUUCAUUGAAAGUGUGGCCUGUGUUGAAUGUAUUUGAUAUGCAAAUGUAGUACAUGUAAUGAGAAUAAGACAUUGUUGUGCCUAAGAGAUAUAUUGUGUUUUGUGAAGACUACAAAUAUUACGUACGAUGAGCUCUAUACUGUACAACAUACAAUUGACGAAUCAAUAAUUGAUUCUAGGGUCUCGUAGAAAUGCUCUAUAUGAUCGAGAUAUAUAUAUAUAUAUACAGUCUGUUUCUGGUGCGGACGUUCGUACGGGUUUUCCAUACGGAUUUCAGCCGUUUCUCCACCAUUCCAACGCCGGUGACGCCGUUUCUUCUCCCAAGCGUGAUCCCAGACCUCCCCCGACGGUGUUGGAAUGAAGAAGAAGGCUGGAGAGAUCACGAUUGGAGGUCUGUGCACAGCAAUCUCACUCAGAACUUCACGACCGAUCAUGGUGGACCUCCGAUCGCGAUCUCUCCGGCCUUCUUCUUCAUUCUAACACCGUCAGGGGAGGUCUGAGAUCAAGCUGGGGAGAAGAAACGGCGUCGCCGACGCUGGAAUGGUGGAGAAACAGCGGAAAUCCGUACGGACGUCCGCACUUGAUAAUCCUUGUAUAUAUAUAUAUAGCCCUUCUUGGCUGCGGACGUCCGCACCGAAGGUUUCGGUACGGAUUUCCAUUUUUGCACCACUUUCCGAUCGAAUUUCCUCAUCUCCACCGUCUAGUAUCUAGAUAAUAUUGUGUAUAUCAUCUCUGCAAAAUUUCAACCAAUUUGGUGAUCGUUAAGACCCUCAAACUCGAGUUUUUCUGGUAUGAACACAACCGGACAGAAUUCAGUCCGUCCAUUUGUUUUUCGAGNNNNNNNNNNNNNNNNNNNNAUGAACGGACCAUAAAUCUGUCUAACAAGAAGAAACUGUCUGUGUAAAUAAUGAUUACGAAAACCAAAACGAUCUUCAAAUUUGAUAAAACUUUGCAUAAAUGAUCUAUGCAUUAGGUUCUACAAACUGAACGGUGGAAAUGUGAAAAUAUGACCGAAAAGUGAGUCAAAUAAGGAACUUCAUACUUUAAUUUUAAAGCGAAGCUUCGCUCUGGAUAAGAACUAUAUAUAUAUAUAUAUAUAUAUUUAUGUGCCCAAGUGAGUGUUAGAAAGAUAUUCCCUAAUUUUCAGGUUAAUUGUGUUUUUUGAGUUAAUUCUGGAAUGAGAUGUUAUUACAGCUUAAUUAGCAAGGUAAGUUUUCUGCUAAUGAUCAUAGGAUUCCAGCAUUGUUUGUUGAUAGUGAUCAAUAGCUGUAUGUCACGUGUCAUCGUACAUGUGCUCAUGGUCCUCUAUUUAUCUUGGAUUCUCUCUCCUUUGUAUGAAGGUCUGGACUCUGGACAAUAUUUUCAUCAAUAUAGUCUCUUCUCCUUUUUCUGCAUUUUUCCUAUACUUUACUGCAAAAUCCUUUUAGAGAGCUUACAUAGAAGAAAGCAAAUACAGCAUACACGGAUUUGUUACGCAGCUAGACAGAAAGAUGAAGAUGUUAAUGAUGAAUCUCCUCGAAUCAUUGCUGGAUCUAAACGAAAUCUUCUCCGUAUCGCUUGUUGCCAGUUUCCUCAUUCUCUUAUACAGAUCAUGGUCUUUCACCACUCCUACAUCAAAGAUCACCACCUUCUCCACCUAAGCUCCCAAUCAUCGGUAACCUUCACCAACUAGGGUUACAACCUCAUCGCUCACUUGAAUCCCCCUCUCAACGCCAUGGCCCUCUCAUGCUCCUCCAUUUCGGAAGCGUCCCCGUCCUCGUCGUCUCCUCCGCCGACGCCGCCCACGAGAUCAUGAAAACCCACGACCUAACUUUCUCCAACAGACCCAAGUCUGUCAUCUUCGAGAAGCUUCUUUACAACUACAAAGACGUGGCGUCGUCGCCUUACGGCGAGUAUUGGAGGCAAGUGAAGAGUACAUGUGUUCUCAAUCUUCUGAGCAACAAGAGGGUUCGGUCUUUUCGCUAUGUCAGAGAAGAGGAGACAACAUCCAUGAUCAACAAGAUAGCAUCAUCAUCUUCAAGAGCGGUGAAUUUAAGCGCAAUGUUUGCGAGGCUUGCUAAUGAUGUUGUAUGCAGGGUGGCUCUGGGGAGGAAGUACAGUAGUUCGGAUUUCAUUGAAGGUGGUCGGACUUUUAAGGAGGUUCUGUUGGAGUUUGUAGAGUUACUGGGAACGUUUAGUAUUGGGGACUUCAUUCCAUGGCUUGCUUGGUUGAAUCGUGUCAAUGGUUUGAAUGGUAAGUUGGAUAAAGUGGCUAAAGAGUUGGAUGAGUUUUUGGAUAGAGUGAUUCAAGAACAUGAAGGUGACGAUCGGUCAAGGAGUAGUGGGACUGAUUUUGUGGAUGUUUUGCUUGAGAUUCAAAAGGGGAACUUGCUUGGUUUUCCUCUUGACAUAGUUAGUAUUAAGGCUCUCAUCUUGGUACGUAUUCUCUCUCUCUCUCUCUACGAAGUAUUACGUUCUCUCUCUCUCUCUCUCUCUCUCUCUCUCUCUCUCUCAUCUGGCUUUCUCAGGUAAAAAUCAUCUUUAACUUAACUAUAGUGCAUAUAUACAUAUAUUCUUAAUAGACCCAUUUUCCUAUUAUAUUUUCUUAUCUUAACCGUUUAGUUUUUAGGUGUAUAUGAGUGGAUCAUCUUUGGUAAUCAUAAAAGUAUCGAAAAUGUAUUAAAUCAAUGAACGAACCGAAUCUGCUUAGCUUGAGCCGUUCGUGCUCUUAAUUUUAAAUUACAGUUUUGAAUGUCUUUAUGAUUAUCAAUUUGGUUAAAAAUUUACAGAGAUGGUCUACUUAUAUAUAUCUAAGAACUGAACGGUUAAGAUGAGAAAAUGUGAUCGAAAAAUGGACAUAUAAGAAAAUCCGUACCAAAAAGGAUGCAUACUUAAUUGUGUUGGAUGUUAACAAAAUUUAUGCCGCUAUAUCUACUUUCUUUGUAGGAUAUGUUUGCUGCUGGAACUGAUACCACAUAUACAGUCCUAGAGUGGGCAAUGACGGAGCUUUUAAGGCAUCCAAGUAUCAUGAGAAAACUGCAAAAUGAGGUACGAAGAAUAGUCGGGAACAAAUCACAAAUAACUGAGAAUGAUUUGGUCGAUAUGCGAUACUUGAAGGCAGUGAUCAAGGAGACCCUUCGUUUACAUCCUCCAAUUCCAUUAUUAGUGCCCAGAAAAUCCACUCAAGAUGUGAAAGUAAACGGCUACGACAUCAAAGCCAAUACACAAGUUAUAGUGAAUGCAUGGAAGAUCGGAAGAGAUUCCAAGUCAUACAACAAUCCUGAGGAGUACGAUCCUGAAAGGUUCUUAAACACUCAUAGGGGAAUAGAUUACAAGGGAAACGACUUUGAAUUGAUUCCAUUUGGAGCUGGAAGGAGGAUCUGUCCAGGAAUUCAGUUUGCCAUGGCUAUAAAUGAGAUUGCUUUGGCAAAUUUGGUGCACAAAUUUGACUGGGCACUACCUGCAGGUGAAGCAAAAUGUGAGGAUUUGGAUAUGAGUGAAUCCAUCGGACUAACCAUUCACAGAAAAAUUCCUACUUAAAGUUGUUGCUACUCCAUACUCUUGUUGAAAUAUAUACUAGCAUAUAUAUGUACUUGUAACUUGUGGCUCAUAUUAAGAAGAUCAUAUUGUGGUUGAAAUAUAUUAGCAUAUAUAUCGAGUGCAUAACUGCAUAUACAUGUACUCCAAUAUUCUUUUUUUUUUUUGGUUUCACAAGGAAGUUAGAGUUUGUUUGGUAAGUACCGGAAAAUAGCACUUAGGCAACGAAAUUUUUUAAUUUCGUCUCCUAAGUGGUACUUAAGUGACGGAAUUUUCUACUUAGGAGACAAAACAGUUUUCAUCUCCUAAGAACGACUUAGGAGAUGGAAUUUCAUUCCGUCGGUUAAGUAGAAUUUAGGAGACAGAAUAUUUUUACUUAGACGACGACAUUUUGAAAAAAUAAAAUAAAAAAAAUUAUAUGAAUAACUAUGGAGAUGGAACUACAUUUCGUAGCCUAAGUAGAACUUAGGAGACGGAAAUGUUUCCUUAGGAGACGAAAUGUUUUUUUAAAAAGAAAGAAAAUUAUGAAUCACUUAGACGACGGAAAUAGAACAUUCCGUCGCUUAAGUUCUAAAAAUUGGAGCGCCCAUCUUCCCGCGUAAAAUUUCAUGAAAAUUCAAACCAAUUUUUUUCAAAACAUAUCAAUUCUUUUAAAUNNNNNNNNNNNNNNNNNNNNCUGUCCAGGAAUUCAGUUUGCCAUGGCUAUAAAUGAGAUUGCUUUGGCAAAUUUGGUGCACAAAUUUGACUGGGCACUACCUGCAGGUGAAGCAAAAUGUGAGGAUUUGGAUAUGAGUGAAUCCAUCGGACUAACCAUUCAUAGAAAAAUUCCUCUUAAAGUUGUUGCUAUUCCAUACUCUUGUUGAAAUAUAUAUGUACUCCAAUAUUCUUUCCUCUUUUUUUUUGGUUAAAAAGGAAGUUAGUGUUUGUUUGGUUGCUGAUAUAUUACAUUUGAUAUUGUGUAUAAAGUUAUGCAAAAAUAGAGGGUUUCCUAGUCCAUUUUGAAAUAUCCAGUAAGCUCUUUGAAAUAUUGAGAUGUCUGAAAUACUCUUCGUAAUUGGAAGAUUACUCAAAGCAUAUGCUUGCAUACUAACUUAAGACACUAUAUACGAUCACUAGGACGCUGCGUGGGAGCAAGAACAUAUCUGCCUUUCAAAUCUAGGGAAAAGAUGGACUGUUAGUUAGGAACUUGAAGUUGCAGAUUCAUUAUUGUGCCGAAUUUCGUUUCUUGUUGAUAUCUUUCUCUUUUUCCUUGGUCAGAAUUUCUGGUUGAUAUCAAGUCCCAACCCACUGACUUGCUAAUUGCACUUGAAGACAAAGAGGAUAGCGGGCGCAUUCAGUAAGCAACAGCAUGACGAAAAGACAAGGCUAUAUAUCCCUGUUCGGGACAGACUUGAACUUUUCGAUUCUACCGCUUCAAAGUUAAAAUUUCAAGAUGAGACGAGACGAGACGAGUUAUGGGCACACAGUGACCAACCCAUAAGGUACAAGAAAGAAAUCUCUCCCCCUCCUUUGCUUCUUCAGAAUAUAUUAUCAACAACGCGGGUUUACAGGUUGUGCUUAGUUUUUUGAAACUCCCAUAAUGCAUAAUGUUACUGAAGAUGAUGAUGAUGAUUCAGUCACCAAGCCCCUUGGAAGGUGUUCUGUCAUGUAUUAUGGCGUGAGCCACAUGCUCGAUGAUAUUACCGCUUCCUGCUGGUUUACAUACCUCGAUCUUGUUAUUCUUGACAGAUAUUGGACUAUCCCCCAGGGAUGCUGCUACCGUAAUGUUAUCUGGUCAAAUAGCUGAUGGAUUUGAAAACAUAUCUGCUGGCGAACCGGUACUUUCACACUUCAAUAUAUCAUGUGUAGAUGAUGAAUUAUGGUACACUAGACAAAUCUAAUGCAUCUUACAUGGUCCUUUGCUUCUUCAAAAUACAUUCAGAUAUUUGCUUUUGUUACAAAAAAAAAAAAAAAAAAAAAAGAACUUAAGACACUAUAUACGCUAGUUUAAGAUAUAUAUAGAGAAUUACGACUUUUGGAACAAAUACUCAGGGCUAAUUUGAUAUUGCUGUGACUUAAAAAAAAAACUGUUGUUGCGUGCUGUAUUGCGGAAAUAAUCAGCUGUGAAUUAAAACAGUUUUGUGUUUGGUAAAUAUUAGUUCUAAAAGUGUUGCCAGGAUAAAAUUUAUCAAUUUCUAGUGUUUUUAGUGACAGCUGGUUUUAAAAGUAACCUUCAUGUUGCUUCUAAAAGCUGUUGUCAGUGACCUGUAAAUUUAAAAAAAAAUCUGUUUUUCUUUCAUUUACCAAAUACUAUAAAAUCUAAAAGUUUGGAUAGAAACUGAUUUUUUUUAAAAGCGAAGCUGUACCAAACUAGAACUUGUAGAUGUUGCUAUAACUUGGACUACGAAGUUGUAAAAAACUAUCUAAUUAUCGUGGCACUGGAUUUUCUUAUACUGUAAUUAUUCUGUGGUACCUAAUUUCUUGCUGGAUUGAUUCAAGAGAAAUAUGUGAAUAUAAAGAGUAAUAACGAUAAUAUACGUUACGCAAAGUUCAAGUAUAUAUAGGGCUCCAAAUUAAUUAUUAGUUCUAACAAUUCAAAAAGUCGCGCGCCAGAAAUUUUAAAUACAAAUUAUCAAACCGAAAAGGUGGUGAUAGUGUGAUACUGGUGAAGCAAAUUUCUGGUUCGUUUACUAAUUCUGCUUAAAUCAAGUUUUAAGAAUGCAGUAAGUCUCAGUUUCUGACCACCCCAUGUUUCAAGUUUGAAAUCAUCAAAGAGUUCAUGCUAUAACACAAGUAUUUUAAGUGAAGAGAUUAGAGAUUGAGAAGACCGGAGACGUUUUAAAGACAAAUAAAUUAAUUAGUAGACUUCUUCUAUUCUUGCGUCCUUGGCCGCAAACAAUUAAGCUUGUUAAUUGUUAUUGUAGUGUUUGGGAUGGAUGGGAACCUUACUACAGCUGAUCAAUAUAUAUGAGGAUCCUUAUUUCAGUUGACCAAAGAUGGGAUCCAAAUUAUAUAUAUCAAUAUAUGCAUGCCCGACUUUUUGUUAAGCAGAGAGUUCAUUAGUGAAGACACACAUACAUAAUUUUCCUGAUGAUGAAAAUGCUUGAGCAGUUGAUUCAUGAAAGCUUCUUUUCCCUGCAAUCUUUUCCCAUCACAUUAUUAGUAGUAGUUUUACCCGUUUUCUUCAUCACCCUCUUUUCGCAGAGAUGCUCCUUAUUCUCACUUGCUACAGAAAACUCACCACCUUCACCGCCAAAGCUUCUUGUGCUCAGACAACUUUUGAAAAUAGGCUCAAACCCUCAUCGCUCACUCCAAAAACUAGCUCAACGCUAUGGCCCUGAUGUCAUGCUCCUCUACUUGGGAACUUCCCCUCUGCUUAUUGUCUCGUCGGCUGAGGCUGCGCGUGAGAUCAUGAAAACAAAUGAUGUAGAAUUCUCUAAUAGACCCAAGUCUGUCAUCUUCCAGAAGCUUCUCUGCAAUUAUAAAGACGUCGCCAUGGCUCCUUACGGUGAGUACUGGAGGCAGGUGAAGAGUAUCUGUGUCGUAAACCUCUUGAGCAACAAAAGGGUUCGUUCUUUUCGUGCCGUGAGAGAAGAGGAAACAAAAGUUAUGAUCAACAAGAUUAAUGCAUCAUCAGGAGAAGUUGUGAACUUGAGAGAAAUGUUUGUGAUGCUUACUAGUGAUGUUAUUUGUAGAGUGACUAUGGGGAAGAAGUACAGUACUAGUUAUGUAGGGGAAGGUGUUAAUAAGAUUUUGUUUGACGAGCUAUUAUGGGAGUUUACUGAUUUAUUGAGGAGUCUCUAUAUCGGAGACUAUAUACCAUGGCUUUCUUGGGUCAGCCGUGUUAAUGGUUUGGAAGCUAAAUUAGACAAGGUGGCUAAGCAGUUCGAUGACUUUUUAGAUAGAGUGAUUCAAGAUCGUGUAGAUCAUCGUUCAAAGACCAAUGGAAGAAGUGGUCAUGUUAAUCAUGCUGAUCCAAACAAGGAGGAUGAAAAGGAUUUUGUGGACGUUUUGCUUGAGAUUCAAGAAGGAAACUUGUCUGGCAUACCUAUUGAUAGAGUUAGUAUAAAGGCUCUCAUAUUGGUAAGUAAAACCAACACACUCUCUACCUCUAGCUUAUUGGUUUCCCUUUUCAUGGCAUAGAUUUACUUGCCUAUAUUUCUUUUGUAGGAUAUGUUUGGGGGUGGCACUGAUAGCACAUAUUCUGUUCUAGAGUGGACAAUGGCAGAGCUUCUAAGGCAUCCAAAGGUGAUGAACAAAUUGCAAACUGAGGUUAGGGGAUUGGCGGGAAACAAAGCAAACAUAACGGAGGAUGAUUUGAUUGAAAUGAACUACUUGAAGGCUGUGAUCAAGGAGACUCUACGCUUACACCCUCCAUUUCCUGUACUAUCUAGGAUAUCCAGCCAAGAUGUGGCAAUCAAGGGUUACAAAAUCAAAGCUAACACACGCAUUGUAGUAAACAUGUGGCAAAUUGGAAGAGAUCCCAAGUCUUACAAGAAGCCAGAGGAGUACGAGCCAGAAAGGUUCUUGAAUGAGAAUAGUGGAGUCAGUUAUAAAGGAAACGACCUCCAGUUGAUUCCAUUUGGAGCUGGCAGGAGGGUCUGUCCUGGGAUUCAGUUUGCCAUGGCUGUUAAUGAGAUUGCUUUAGCAAAUUUGGUGCACAAGUUUGAUUGGGCAUUGCCUGGCGGAGCAAGCGGGGAUGAUCUAGACAUGACUGAAUCCACUGGCAUGCCAACACAUCGAAAGCAUCCUCUUAAAGCUGUCGCUAUUCCAUACUUGGCUAACCGCGGAUAGAAUCCAAAUUUUCGUAUACCAGUACUAGUUUCAUGUGUGUUAGUAUCACAGCAGACACAUGUUUGAUCCCCCGUAGUAUGUAUGAGUUUACAUAGACUUGAUUUGUUUUGGAUCUAGUAGUUGAACAUACGCAAAGCUUUCCUUAUUUUCCACAAAGAAGUUUCUUACCGGAUGGAUAUGCCCACCAUAGCUGUCAACUUUUCUCAUUUCCAAAUCAAGUGAGAAUUGAGAGAUAAGGUCUGCAAGCUUUGUAUAACAUAUAUACUGUAUCUAAGUAUCUUUCUACAACUCUAUCUUGAUGGUAAGUGCAAAUGUGCAAUAAUGUCAGCAGACCAGUUGUUAUCUUCUAUCUCAUUCAGGUCCAUGUAUGUUUUGUAGUUUUUCAUAUCAGCACUAAAACUUCCACAUAGAAAACAAGAACCAUAAAGAUUUGGAAAAUCUGAAUGAUACAAAAUAGUUUAGGCGGCUACGUUUGGCUAAUUCUGACUAUCAUGUGCAUAAGUCAAGUAUCAGCAUCACGAAUUGUUUUGUGAGACAGAAGAAUGUCUAAAGCAACUAUAAACUGAUGAACACAGAGAACUAUAAAUUGAUGCACACACAGAUAUAAAGGUACACUCACAUACCUGUUUUGGUCCAAUGGAUCUUCUUCAGUUUCUUAACAGACCAUCUUUGCUUCUGGCAUUCAGUUUCCUCAUAGCGUUGCUUACAUUCCUCUUCAAGGAUAGUUCAAGAAAAAGAAAACUCAAACUCCCACCAGGCCCUCCAAAGCUACCUGUCAUUGGCAACCUUCACCUGCUAGGAAACCAGCCUCACCUAUCUCUCCGGUCCUUAGCAGAGAAAUAUGGUCCAAUAAUUCACUUGCAACUUGGUGAGAUCCCAACUGUGGUGGUUUCAUCAGCUAGAGUUGCCAAGGAAGUACUAAAAACCCAUGAUCUUGCACUAUCAAGCCGUCCACAAAUCUUUUCAGCCAAACAUCUCUUCUAUAAUUGCACUGAUGUUGUCUUCUCCCCUUAUGGUGCUUAUUGGAGACACAUACGUAAGAUUUGCAUACUUGAGCUGUUAAGUGCCAAACGAGUGCAGUCAUAUAGCCAUGCCAGAGAAGAAGAAGUUGCUCGUCUGGCUCAUCGGGUUGCAGAGUGCUAUCCCGGCACCACUAAUCUCAGCAAGUUGCUUGGACUAUAUGCAAAUGACAUUCUCUGCCGCGUAGCAUUUGGAAGAGAUUUCUCAGGUGGUGGAGAGUAUGAUCAGCAUGGUUUUCAAAAGAUGCUCGAGGAAUACCAGGAAUUGCUUGGCGGAUUUUCUAUUGGAGAUUUCUUCCCUUCCAUGGAGUUCCUCCACACCUUAACAGGAAUGAAAUCA